rnacentral:lncRNA from 1 species
UGAUAUUGUGCUUGUUCUUUUCUCGUUCCAACUAUACUAGAGACCCAUCCAGAGCAAAGCCCGGAUACAACCAGAAUAAGAAGCUCAAAUACAACAAAUCAAAGAUGAAUCACAAGUUACAAGACAAAUACGAAAACAAUCAAAGCCCGGAACGAUACAGGAGUGAAGGGAGGAGGGUUUCUGGACACACACACAUAUCAGUGACAUCAAUCGACCGAUAAUUAGUUCCCAGCCCUAGAAGUAUCCCUUAAUUAUUUAUUUAUGCAGCACGGUGCUAUGUGCAUGCAUGCAUACAUAGCCACAUGCAUACUUGGUACGUAGCCUAGUAUGGAAUCUGCCCAACCAUGUGCGGCGGGCUGUAGCUGCAUAUGACAAACACACCGGCAUUGCCGUCACAGACGACAGCGCCGCAACCGAUGGUCUUCGUGUCCCUCCACACCAAAUUCAGGUAUUCAUCGCACGACUCACCCGUAGGUGCGGAUCAAGUGUUGGUGGCGUGCUCGUAGUACUGCUUUCCGGAUGCCCAAUAAAUCACUGCGUCUAUCGCAUUCCAUUCGGUACCAGGGGCCCGAAAGAUGUUCUCUCCGUAUGGACCGCCCUCCGGAGAGAGUAUUGGCUGGCAGUCGGCGCGGCGCUUCUCCGCGAAUGACUGCGCGUACGCCGCCACUAUGGGGUCCCACGUCACCGGCCCCACACCGACGGCGGCGCGCACUUCGUUGUGGGCAUUCACCAUGUAGUCAGCGUCGUCAUUCUGGGCGGUGACGAUCAUGGCGGACGUGAGGGCUAAGAGCAGUGCUGCAGCUAGCUUUGGAGAGUACUCCAUCACUAAUGCUGCCUUAGGGAAUGAAGGAAAGAAGUGCGUGUGUGUAAUGAUGGAUGAGAUUUGCUGUCACCGUGAGUUGUGUAUUUAUACUAGUGCACAAGCUAGCUCGAUGGGUUGCUUUAGCUAAUCUUAGAGCCAUUAUUAUUCUCCUUUCAGUAGGGAAACAAGAACAUCCACUUGUACGUACGGGGAAAAUUCCAAUACAUGUGCUUGUGCGAAAAAUUCAAGCCACUCAGGAAGCGGAGACCUCAGUUGUUCGAAAAAAUAAAUAAACGGAGAUUUCAUAAGUUUGAAAAAAGUAACUAACCUGUCGUAACAUCGUGGAUUAUUAUCUUUUCCAGCAGCUGAUUUGUUCUGGCGCGCGGUAGGUGUGAUAAAACAAUAUCGACUUUCCGUUUUGAAAACUUAAAGCCAAUCAGUACGCGAAGACUUCACCAUGUCGUCAAAAAUAAGCCAAGACCUCACCCGGUCAUAAAAAAAAUAAGUAGAGCCCUCAUUAAUUUAUAAAAAGUAACCAACAUGCUAUGUCACCCUGAAUGCUGCGUCAAGCCCUGCUGUAGAAAAAGCAUCGAUUCAUGGAAGCAUAAAUAAGCAAAGCAGUGCCUAUUACACAUGGUAUGCCACAUAAUGAUAUUCCGAACAGAUGUGCAGCAAAUCGUGCCCUAUUUGAAGCAGCAGUACGUACCAACCAUGUAUGCAUCCAAUUGAAUUAAUUAAAGAUUUUUUCAAGUGGAAGGGACAUUGGAGAAAGGGAGAGCUGGAUCCCCAAACAUGAGAGGUCGAUCCUAGCUUUAGUGAUACUAGAUGACCUGUUGCGUCAAUUGGCGCAAAUGGCGGAGUUACUCAAAAAGAAAUGAAUGGUAAUCUAUUCUCAAGAUUAUCGACUUCAAAAAUAAGAAAUUGUGAUAAUCAGAAUAUACAUUUUAGGUGGUGAAUUAUCGAUAUAUUUAUUCCAUGUAAGAACUAAAGCCAAUCAGUAAGCGGAGACCUCAUUAGGUUGUAUAAAAUAAGCAGAGACCUCACCGGAUCGCAAAAAUCAGCAAAGACAUCAUCCCUUUGAAAAAGCAAGCAACAUGUUGUGUCACUGUGCAUUCUGCGUGAUGCCCUGCUGUAGGAAAAGCAUCGAUUCAUGGAUGCAUACAAAAACAAACAAGUGCCUAUUACACACAGCACACCACACAACGACCUUCUGAGCAUAUGUGGAUUAUCUUCUCAAGAGGCAGCCUGUGUCGCAGCAGAUCAUGCCCUCUAUUUGAAGCAGCAGUGCAUACUUGAAUGACUAUACCCAUCAUUUAUACAUCCAAUGGAAUUAAUUCACAUUUCACUCAGGUGGAAGAGACAUGGGCGAAAGAGAGUUGGGGGUCGCCAAACGUGAGGGCAAGAUCCUAGCUUUAAUGAUACGAAAUGACCCGUUGCGCCAAUUGGCGCAAAUGGUAGAGUUACGUGAGAGAAAUUUAUGGUAAUCUAUUCCUAAGAUCAUUGACUUCAAAAAUAAAUAAGCGAGAUCUUCCUAAUAUAUGCUCUAGGUGGUGAGGUAUUAACACUACACCACAACACUAAUGCAACGGCAUGUAAACUGCCCUGAGAAACCACUUUAAGGGGCACACUAUCUGUCGGGGAAGUAUUUCUCCCGGCAGGCAGAACCGCCACGAGAACGGCUGCCGGGGAUCACUUCUCCCGGCAGAUAAAGUAUUCCCGGCAGUCCCACUGCCCUAGUACAUUUAUUUGCCGGCAGUUUCUAUUCUCCCGGCAGAUUAGGCAAGACACGUGGACUACCAGUUACUGGCAGUCUAACUGCCGGCAGAAGAGUGUUGACCCGGUAGUUAUUUUGCCAGCAUGUACAUUUCACUACCUAAUUGUUCCGGGCAUCCCCUAUGUAAUAUCCAUUUAGUAUGUUCAGUCAGCAGCACAACCAUAAUAUCAUGCCUAUGCCAGCCAGCAGCACAACCAUAAUAUCAGGCCUCAUCCAGAAAUAAUAUACAUAUAUGUUUUGCCAGCAUGUACAUAACACUUCAAUCAAAAUAAUAUCAGGCCUCAUCCAGAACCUUAAAACGUCAUUGGAUAAACAUAACAACCAUAAUAUACAUAUAAGGAGGUUGUGCCACAAAAGGUACAUCACAUAUAUGUUUUAAAAUGUGUCACACAACCAACAAAAUGAAAUAGUGCGACAAAUGGAGAAAUACAUGUUUCUGGGUGUGCCACACAACCAAAAUGAGCAUAUGGCUUAUCGACCAGCAAAAUGAGCGGAGCAAGUGUGUCUAGGUUUCACAAACUAAACAAGCAUAUUACAUAAAACUAUUGUAGUUCUUCCAAAUCUUCAGGAGCUUGAAAAUCUUCCAAAUCUUCAUCAACUUGUGCACCUUUGGGAAACCUGCAACAGAUAGGAUACUCAAUAGCAGUGGCGGAGCUUGAAAGGAAAAGUUGGGCGGGCCAAAUAAAAGAAGAGCACAAAAUAUUUCAAAUGCUGAAGCAUAUAUAUGCUGGACUCAUUUGAAGCGAUUCUGUCGACUCGAAAACAAAUCAAUUCUUCUCUGAGUGUCAUGGUGCGAUUUUUUCAUCUGAUUAGAAAAUUAAUUAAGCAUAUGCAUGACUAGCGAGUAGGUGUGGCGCUGCUUUCAAGCUGCUACAUGCUCGAGAGCAAGACCUUGGAGGCUUUCAGGCUUUGGAUAUAAUAAUAUAUGAGAUGGCUGGUUGUCAGUGGACUAUAGAUUAUUUUUUGGAGGGAAGUCAGUGGAGUGUAGAUGGGCUGACAACCGAAACAUACUAGCAAAUCUGUAGAAAUCUAUAGAAAUCCUAGGCAACCAAGAGAAACAUGUAUAUUACCUCCUUAGCCUGCUUGUGGUCGCAUUCCUGCUUUUUCCAUGGACUUGUCCACUUCCAACUGCAUACAUGGAAGCAAAGCUUUUUCAGCAAUCAACCAUCAUAGUCAUUGGUAGGUUUAAUCAUAAGAAAAUAAGAACCAAAUCUCACAUGCUUGUAUGGCCAUGCGAUACAUCGCCCUUGAGCUUGCCCCAUGGUGGUCAUGUUCCCAACACCACGAGGUAGUAUAGCAUCCCUUUUUAUUACAUAGUUCACGGCAACCUCACAAUAUUCAGAGCCAAGCUCCUGACCACCUACCUCUUUUCUCCGAUCAAUUGACAGAAUGGUUGCUUUUGCCACUGGGAUACUAUGAUCUCGAUAAACAUUAUACAGGAUCACAUCCUUUCCUUUCCGAGUAAGCAUGAAAAAGAACUCAGAUAAGCGAAAGUGUCUUUGUCAUCCUAAAUAAAAAAGAGCAACAAAAUAUAAUCAAAGUACAAUCUGACCUGCUGAUUUUUGAGUGUGAUUGCAACUUCCUUGCUUGUUUCCAUCUUGUGGCGAUGAAGUGCCACGUCCUUAGUUUGUUGUGUGAGCCAUGUUGCCUUCUUCUUUUGCAAAGUGGUUGCUUCCUUCUCUUGCAGCACCUCAUGUUGAGCGGUAUUAGAAAGUACAAAGUUUUUCUGAGUGGAUGGUCUUAACUUAUUUUGCAAGAGUGCUUAUUGAGCCUUCUUAUGCAAAAUGGUUGCUUCUUUCUCUUGCCGCACCUCAUGGUUGCGGGUGGCAGAUUCUGCACUCUCUUCAUGCUCAUACUCCCCUUCAUGUUCAUACCCCCCUUCAUGUCCAUACCCACCUCCAUAUCCACCUUCAUAUCCAUCUUUAUGUUGAUAUCCACCUCCAUAUCCAUCUUUAUGUCGAUAUCCACCUCCAUAUCCACUUUCAUAUCCAUCUUCAUGUCGAUAUCCACUUCCAUGGGCACCUUCAUAUCGAUAGCCACCACCAUGGCCACCUCCAUAUCCAUAUCCAGAGUGAGACAAGUCAUACUCUUGAUUGAACUGAAUAUUUUGCUGCACUUUUGAUUGUAACUGUCUCCUCAUUUGUUGAAGUUCAUCCUUCAGAGUUUUAACUACUGUUUGGAAAUUAUUCUCCAUUUGAUGUACACGCUCUACAAGAAUUGCAUUUGAUUGCCAAGCUUCUUUUACUUCUUCCUCAGCCAUUUGAAGCUUCGUGGAUUUCAGCUUUCUAGUACCCGGCAUUGCCCAAACCUGCAGCACUUGGUCCUAGACCUAUACACCUCACAUACCCAUUCCUCUCCUUUCCUGCGACAUGCGAGAAGAGGUCACCUUGCUUGAUGCUUUUUUCUAAAAGUUCUGGACGCUCAUUUGACUUCUCUUCUAUCUUUUUCUACAAGACAGAACAUAUGAUCCAUGAACACAUCACCAACAUAGUGUCUACUAAAGACUAUAACUCCAAUGUUCUAGAGAAAAAAAUAACAAGUACAAAGUCUAAAGAUUGUUGCAACUCAAAAUACUUACAAACAUAGUUGCUGCAGCCACACUUGAAGGGGCACCAGUAUUCUUGCACGUGUGUGUUUCUAUAAAUAGUUCAUGUCUCUGAGGGGGAUAUCCAUUCUUCUUAUGCUACAUUCAUUUUCUUAUAAUUAGUUCAUAACAAUCAAGAAAUGGUAAAAUAGAGUUAUAUAAGAUAAUUAUAUACCAUUUCAUGACAAACACGAGCAUGACUUUUGCUGCCUGAUGUAUGCAAUAAUUCCAUCUCCAUUCGAUUUUUUCUUCCUUGCUCGCUAUGUUGCUACAAAUAUUGAUUCAAUGAAUUGUAAAUUAGGCAAAACUACAGGAAAGUGCACAUGUAUUUUCUUGCAACGUACCUUCCCUGCUUCCGUUUUCCAAAAAGCAACAAGCUCUUUCCAAUCAUUUGGGCUAACUCUGUUAUCUGGGACAACUUGAAGUUCCUCAUCGCUCAUCUUCUCAUCAAAAUACAAAGUCUUCAACUCAGAUUUGAAAUCCCUCCAUUUCUUCGCAGCGCUUCCCAUUACCCAAUCCUUCAGUUUGUCAUCCACAACAUAGUACAUCCGAUUUCAAGCAAGUGUAAAUGGAGAGUGUAAGGAUGAUGUAUUAGAUAAAGGGGAAAGUUAUACUACAAGUCAUCUAGAGAUAAAGGGGCAAGUUAUACCAGAAAGCAUAGAGUAUACCUUUAAGGUUUUCCACAAAUGAUUUUUUUCUCAACAUCAACCUUUCUCCAAUCAUUAUGCCCAAGAGAUAUUUUACUUUUCACAAGUGUUGAGAUGAAGUUUGAAAACUCCGAGGCAUUGUCCCCAAUUGGUUGUCCAUCACCAUUGUACUCCACACGAAUUGGUGGGACUGUCCCCAAUCUAUCAUACACAUUGUGCAUUCUAAUGCGUUUUUCCCCUUCUUCCCCUUUGUUUCUUGAUCCAACUCAUGGUCUAAACAUGCAAAAUAGUUAGUAGGCUGUCAUCAUUUAACUAGCAGUCUGUAUACAUAGAUUUUUGAGCUACAUACCUUCGUGCCCUUCGUGCUCUUCAAUGUUAUCACUUGGCAUGUUAUCAACAUCUCUAGUCGUUUGGGACCUAAGAACUCGAGUUACUUCAACAAUAGGCUUUUCUACGGUGCUCUACACAUAACAAAACAAGAUAUGUAAAACUGAAGUAAUAGAUGCAAUAACCAAAUAGAAGCAUGUUAUAUCACCUUCUUUCUUUUAGUUUCCCGCUGACUGGCUUUGCCUCCAGAAAUUUCUUUAGCAUCUGCAAAUCUGAAAGACCCAAAUCGUGCAAAAUCCUCACUAUUUCUUGCUUUAAGAUUCGCUAGCCUCUCUUCCUCUCGUGCUUCAGCAUUGUCUUCAUCUCUUCCUUUUUCCAUCUUUUUUCCUGAAAAGAAAAUUUAUACCACAUUAGAAUUGACACAUUGGAUAUCAAGUAUAUAAGCAUGUAACUGAAAAAUGAAAGGAAAAGGCACACGCUUUGGUUGCUGAACUACAGGAACAAGUGUUCCAUAUAUAUAUGUCCUACAACGAGGUAUAUUUCUAACAUCAACACUAAGAUCUACAUUGGCAUCCAGAUCAGCAACUGACACAGUAGGUGCAUCAUGGUGGUCAAAAUCUUCAUCUCCAACUCCACACAUAUCAUACAGGUCUCGUGGAUGAGGAAAGCUUCUAACAGAAUACCAAUCUUUAUCAAGCUUAUCUUGCACAUAGUACACUUGGGUUGCUUGAGAUGCCAAAAUGAAAGGUUCAUCAGACUUGAGUAAAUGCUUGAAGUUCACUUGUGUGACACCAAGAUCAUCGACUUGAACCCACUUGUCUUGUGCACUGUUGUCAACCCAAUCACAUUUGAAAAGCACAAUACUUCCUUUGGUGUUAUAAUUUAACUCAAGGAUUUCAGUUAUCACACCAUAAUAUAUUUUAUUCCUGACCAUCAGAUUUUCAUUAUCUUCACUUGUGGAAGACAAAAUCUGAGAUACCAGAGCAACCCCGCUGCUUUGGGAAGGUCUACCAUGAUCAUACGAAUUUGUGUGGAAAUUGUACCCAUCUAUGGUAUAGCUAUUACACUUCCUUGCAGCUAAGAAGGGCCCGUUAGCUAAAGUUUGAAUCUCUUCAAAAAUAUCUUCACCAUUCGCAAUUAGUUGUGCCACAUGGAGCUUAAACCACUCAUGGAAUUUCUCAUGGCGAAUGCGACUAAUCUCUAACUUAUUCCCGUGGCCAAUCGAAGUUAAAUAGGCAUCAUACUUGCUGCAGGAGUUAAGUAUGCAAAUUCAGCAAUAUGACAAAUAUCGUUCAUAGGCUCAAAUGAAAGAAAUUCUUAGAAAUAAAAUACCUCAAAUAUGAAUCUAUGUUAUCAUAAUUAAACAAAACAUAUCGAUGUGCUUGCAGCCAUGACUUGUGGUCUAAGGUCACUAUAUGCUUUCCAGCCAAAAAUCGACCCUUGUUGGUAAAAAAUGGCAUAGUAGAUACAUUGGUCUCAAGGGCGUCAUUUCUGCAUUUUUUGUUAAAUCUAGUCUCACAUCCAUGUAAAUAACGGGAGCAGAAUGUAAGGCUCUCAUCAAACACAUAGCCCUCUGCAAUUGACCCCUCGGGGUGGCUCUUGGUACGUACAAACCCCUUUAGCUUCAUAUUAUACCUAUAUAGUAUAUACGUAAGAUAUAUCAGAUUAUUUUGGGGGAAGCAAGAAACCAUACGAUACCAAGAAAAUAGGUUUAUAGGGAUGACCUUUCUACUGGGUACAUGCUGAUGUACUUUAUUGGCCCCCCUAGCCUCACUUGGGUUGGAAGGUGAACCAUCAAGUGAACCAUAAGAUCAAAAAAUGAUGACAGAAAUAUGGCCUCAAGAAUGCUCAAGGUCUCAGCUAUUUCUCCCUCUAGCUUCUCCAUGUCACUUAUGCUAAUGACAGGAGAAUAUAUUUGGUUGAAGAAUCUGCUGACACGAACCAAGGCAAUACCGACUUCCUUUGGCAAUGUGUUCCGAACAGCUAGUGGAAGCAAUUGUUGCAAAAGAAUGAUUGUCAUGGCUCUUCAGCCCAACGAUCUUUUUCUGCUUCACAAGGACAUUCCGGCAUAUAUCAGAUGCACAACCAUCAGGGAACCUAGCUUCCUUCAAAAUUUCACAAAACAGUUUCUUCUUUUCAUUGUCCAUUGCGUAGGGUGCAGCAGGCAAAUCAAAUUGUUCACCUACUAGGACAGGUUGGAGAGCUUUUCUUAUUCCGAGAUGCUCUAGAUCUCUACGAGAGCUAUAAUUAUAUUUUGAUUUUUUAUCCAUGCAUAGAAGUGUGUUAAUUAUAUUUUCACAUACAUUCUUUUCAAUGUGCAUUGCAUCAAGAUUAUGAGGCUGCAGCAAGUCUUUCCAGUAUCUCAACCUAAACCAUAUGGAUUUUUUUCCGAACCAUUGGUGGUUCGCCAACCUUGCGCUUCUUCGUGGUUGUUUUCCCGGAAGGGUCCUUUCCAAAAACAGUCUUCAUAUUUUCAGUGAGGGCCAAAACUUCCUCUCCAGUAAGUGGUACAGGUGUUGUCCCUAAUUGCACACCAUCAAAGGAUUCUUCAUCAAAUCUGUAUUCAUGGUUAGGAUCAAGAAACCUUCGAUGUCCCAUAUAGCAAAAUUUCUUGCCUUCCUUCAACCGAAGAGAGCAAGUAUGUGAGCCAUACAAUGGACAAUCAAAUUCACCAGAGAUUACAAUCCCUGAUAGAGUGCAUAAGCCUGGGAGGUCUGAUGUAGUUGACAAUACAGCAGCAUGCAGGUUGAAGGGUUUACCGGUCGAGGCAUCAUAGGUUCUAACACCCUCCUCAAAAAGCGAGUUCAAAUCAUCAAUAAGUGGUUCAAGAAAUACAUCUAUAUCUCUCCCAGGUGACCUUGGACCAGGAAUUAGCAAAGAGAGGAUGAAAUUAUGCUGCUUCAUGCACAACCAAGGAGGAAGAUUCAAUGGAAUUACUAAAACAGGCCAGACACUAUAGGAUAACUUCAUUGUCCUAAAUGGAUUAAAACCACCAGAUGCUACAAGCAUCCUCAUGUUGCGACUAUCUUUAGCAAAAUCUGGAUAUUUGCCAUCAAAGUCCUUCAAAGCAGGUGCAUCCGUUGUAUGCCUUAUUAGUCCAUCUCUUGUACGUUCUUCAGCAUGCCAUCUGCAGUCCGCUGCACUCUUUGCGGACACAAAAAGGCGUUGUAGCCUCUUCUUUAUUGGAAAAUAACGAAGAACCUUCCUUGGGACCUUGUGUACAUGUUUCCCAUCAAGACUAUUCUUUUCAGAUUUCCACCGAGAAGUUUUGCAUGUAGGACAAAUAUCCUUAUUUGCAUGUUCCUUCCAGAACAAAAUGCAAUCAUUCUCACAUGCAUGAAUUUUUAUAUAACCAAGCUCAAGGCAUUUUAUCAUCUUCUUAGCUUCAUAAAAGUUUUUGGGUAGCUUUGCUGUUGGAAAGGCCUCUUUUAGCAACUCUAGCAGUAUGUCAAAACUUUUAUCACUCCAACCUCCAAGAGAUUUUGUAUGGAGUAACCUAACAACAAAACGUAGCUUUGAGAAGGUUGUGCACCCUGGAUAAAGCUCCUCCCUAUCAUCAACUAUGAAUUGUCGGAAAGCAUCUUCAUCCUUCUUCUUUUUCUUCUCUAGAAGAGGGUCGACGCCCUCAGGCUCUGCAUCCUGGUGACUUGGAUCCUCCCCACUAGUACCACCACUAAAAUCCCCAUUUUGAUGUGUUAUAUCUUGAAUCAUUUCAAGCAUCUCAUCAUAGUCAUCUAAGUCGAUCUCCUCUUGAAAAUCAUCAGGUUGAACCUCAUCAUGGUCACUCUCAGAUGCAAGAGAUGAUGAUGCCUCCCCAUGAUAUAUCCAUCGUUUGUACCCAUUAAUAAACUCAUCGCAUAACAAGUGCUCAUAGACAACAUUAGCUUCAAACCAACAACAGUUCAAGCAAAUUCUACAAGGACAUAGUAUAGUGUUCCCUCUUGCUGAAUGCGUAAAAGCAAAAUCUAUGAAUUUCUCUACCCCGUCUAUAUAUGCUUGUGUAUUUCUAGCUUUAUCCAUCCAACUCUUGUCCAUUCUUGACCAGUUUCACUAAAAUUGCCUAACAUGCGAGAAAGUAUACUUCUAUUAAGGAAAAAAUCUAGUAACAAAGUGCAGAUCAACAAUAUCUAGUACAAGCAACAAGAAAUACAAUACGAGAAGAAAUUUCAUCACACAACAAAAUAUAAUUAACUGAAACAUGUCAUUUCAGAAAAUACAAAUACCAAAAUAGCAAUAAGAAUGCCAUCAUCUAUAUCAUAAAAGCAUAGCACAUGUUCUGUACACAUCUCGUAUUUGGCAAAACUCAAACAAACAUGGUACUACCUUGGGGCAUUAACUAAACAAACAAAGAACUUAAAUAACUAGCUUUCUUUCAUCUCAAAUUAAAGUGAACUCCAAAGCUCAACUAUACAACUUAGUCAGGUGUCAAAAAAUCUAAUGAAGGUAUGCACUUGUUAAUCAGCAAUGGUCCCUGUCCUUUGAUCUGAAGGGCUACUAACAGUAGCAGUGUUCAGUUUUAGACAAGCAAAUAACCUUCAAACGUGUUUGACUCAUGGUUCUUUUGUUGUUAUUAUAUCAAAGCAAUUAAAACUAGAUGCUUUGUUCUAACUGACGGAAUAGUUUAGUGCUGCUACUUUUCAACAUUAUUUUGAGCACAAGCUUCAAAGGGCGGGAGGUGUUCUAGCCAUCGGCAAGGAAGAACAAACGAAUUCAUUGGGAUCAAACUAGCAAUGUAGUCUUCGGGGCUUUGAUCUCAAGAUCCAUAGCUGCACAUUCAGAACAAAAGAUGGCAAAAAAUUGUUAUGAAACCUCACGAGCUGUCAAAUGAAGUACAGUAAACUCGAUGUUCAGUAGUCAGAGCUGCUCGCCGGAGAGGAGGGCCAACCCGCGGAGACUGCUGCGUCAGGGGCUUGUCGACGAGGUGCCUGCUCGCUGGAGAGGAGGGCCAACGCGCGGUCUGCUGCUUCAGGGGCUUGUGGAGGAAGGAGAAGUAGGUGCUACAAAAAUAGUUACUGUAAAUAAAACCGUCUCGCGCCGUGAAUAGUGAAUAGACUUGCUUAUGUUCAGUUCACUGAUAACGAUAGUGAAGCGAGCGGAAUGACAAGGAUGCCCAGCGCUCACACGGACGGACGGCUGCAAACUCCACAGGAAUCCAUUCCAGCACAACGCCUACGCUCUGUACCACCGAAAGGUAAAGGGCCAGAAACCGAAAUUGAAAUUUGGAGCACUCACGGCGGCGCCUGCUCAGGGAGGAAACAGAGCUCGAUCUGGAGUGCGGCGACGAUGACAGUGGCUGACAGCGGCUUGGUGGCGGGCGGAAACAGAGCUCGGGGAGGAAAGAGCUCGGCCUGGUGGAGGGCAGUGGAUGGAUGGUGGCGGCGGCGGCAGUGGAUGGUCGGUUGGGGGCGGCGGUAGUGGUUGGUUGGGAGCGGCGGCGCCGGCGAUGGAUGGAUGGUUGGGGGCGGCGGCGGCAGUGGAUGGUUGGUUGGGAGCGGCGGCGCCGGCGAUGGAUGGAUGGUUGGGGCGGCGGCGGCUUGCGGUGGUGAGGGGUGGAGGAGCUGCGGUGGUGAGGGGUUACGCCGGCAGCAGGGGUGGGGGGCCAAACUGGAGCAGGAGCUGCGGUGGUGAGGGGUUAUGCCGGCGGUGAGCUAGGUUUUGGGGGCGGCGGUGAGCUGUGUGUAAUAGAGACCUCAUCGGAUCGCAAAAAUCACCAAAGACAUCAUCCCUUUGAAAAAGCAAGCAACAUGUUGUGUCACUGUGCAUGCUGCGUGAUGCCCUGCUGUAGGAAAAGCAUCGAUUCAUGGAUGCAUACAAAAACAAACAAGUGCCUAUUACACACAGCACACCACACAACGACCUUCUGAGCAUAUGUGGAUUAUCUUCUCAAGAGGCAGCCUGUGUCGCAGCAGAUCAUGCCCUCUAUUUGAAGCAGCAGUGCAUACUUGAAUGACUAUACCCAUCAUUUAUACAUCCAAUGGAAUUAAUUCACAUUUCACUCAGGUGGAAGAGACAUGGGCGAAAGAGAGUUGGGGUCGCCAAACGUGAGGGCAAGAUCCUAGCUUUAAUGAUACGAAAUGACCCGUUGCGCCAAUUGGCGCAAAUGGUAGAGUUACGUGAGAGAAAUUUAUGGUAAUCUAUUCCUAAGAUCAUUGACUUCAAAAAUAAAUAAGCGAGAUCUUCGUAAUAUAUGCUCUAGGUGGUGAGGUAUUAACACUACACCACAACACUAAUGCAACGGCAUGUAAACUGCCCUGAGAAACCACUUUAAGCGGCACACUAUCUGCCGGGGAAGUAUUUCUCCCGGCAGGCAGAACCGCCACGAGAACGGCUGCCGGGGAUCACUUCUCCCGGCAGAUAAAGUAUUCCCGGCAGUCCCACUGCCCUAGUACAUUUAUUUGCCGGCAGUUUCUAUUCUCCCGGCAGAUUAGGCAAGACACGUGGACUACCAGUUACUGGCAGUCUAACUGCCGGCAGAAGAGUGUUGACCCGGUAGUUAUUUUGCCAGCAUGUACAUUUCACUACCUAAUUGUUCUGGGCAUCCCCUAUGUAAUAUCCAUCUAGUAUGUUCAGUCAGCAGCACAACCAUAAUAUCAGGCCUAUGCCAGCCAGUAGCACAACCAUAAUAUCAGCCAACAGCACAACCAUAAUAUCAGGCCUCAUCCAGAAAUAAUAUACAUAUAUGUUUUGCCAGCAUGUACAUAACACUUUCAGAACCUUAAAACGUCAUUGGAUAAACAUAACAACCAUAAUAUACAUAUAAGGAGGUUGUGCCACAAAAGGUACAGCACACAUAUGAUUUAAAAUGUGUCACACAACCAAUAAAAUGAAAUAGUGCGACAAAUGGAGAAAUACAUGUUUCUGGGUGUGCCACACAACCAAAAUGAGCAUAUGGCUUAUCGACCAGCAAAAUGAGCGGAGCAAGUGUGUCUAGGUUUCACAAACUAAACAAGCAUAUUACAUAAAACUAUUGUAGGUCUUCCAAAUCUUCAGGAGCUUGAAAAUCUUCCAAAUCUUCAUCAACUUGUGCACCUUUGGGAAACCUGCAACAGAUAGGAUACUCAAUAGCAGUGGUGGAGCUUGAAAGGAAAAGUUGGGCGGGCCAAAUAAAAGAAGAGCACAAAAUAUUUCAAAUUCUGAAGCAUAUAUAUGCUUGACUCAUUUGAAGCGAUUCUGUCAUCAGACUCGAAAACAAAUCAAUUCUUCUCUGAGUGUCAUGGUGCGAUUUUUUCAUCUGAUUAGAAAAUUAAUUAAGCAUAUGCAUGACUAGCAAGUAGUUGUGGCGCUGCUUGCAAGCUGCUACAUGCUCGAGAGCAAGACCUUUGAGGCUUUCAGGCUUUGGAUAUAAUAAUAUAUGAGAUGGCUCGUUGUCAGUGGACUGUAGAUUUUUUAUUUUUGAGGGAAGUCAGUGGACUGUAGAUGGGCUGACAACCGAAACAUACUAGCAAAUCUGUAGAAAUCUAUAGAAAUCCUGGGCAACCAAGAGAAACAUGUAUAUUACCUCCUUAGCCUGCUUGUGGUCGCAUUCCUGCUUUUUCCGUGGACUUGUCCACUUCCAACUGCAUACAUAGAAGCAAAGCUUUUUCAGCAAUCAACCAUCAUAGUCAUUGGUAGGUUUAAUCAUAAGAAAAUAAGAACAAAAUCUCACAUGCUUGUAUGGCCAUGCGAUACAUCGCCCUUGAGCUUGCCCCAUGGUGGUCAUGUUCCCAACACCAUGAGGUAGUAUAACAUCCCUUUCUAUUACAUAGUUCACGGAAACCUCACAAUAUUCAGAGCGAAGCUCCUGACCACCUACCUCUUUUCUCCGAUCAAUUGAUAGAAUGGUUGCUUUUGCCACUGGGAUACUAUGAUCUUGAUAAACAUUAUACAGGAUCACAUCCUUUCCUUUCUGAGUAAGCGUGAAAAAGAACUCAGAUAAGCGAAAGUGUCUUUGUCAUCCUAAACAAAAAAGAGCAACAAAAUAUAAACGAAGUACUGUUGGAAGUAUGCCCUAGAGGCAAUAAUAAUUAGUUAUUAUUAUAUUUCUUUGUUCAUGAUAAUCGUUUAUUAUCCAUGCUAUAAUUGUAUUGAUUGGAAACACAAUACUUGUGUGGAUACAUAGACAAAACACUGUCCCUAGUAAAUCUCUAGUUGACUAGCUCGUUGAUCAAAGAUGGUCAAGGUUUCCUGGCCAUAGGCAAGUGUUGUUACUUGAUAACGGGAUCACAUCAUUAGGAGAAUCAUGUGAUGGACUAGACCCAAACUAAUAGACGUAGCAUGUUGAUCGUGUCAUUUUGUUGCUACUGUUUUCUGCGUGUCAAGUAUUUGUUCCUAUGACCAUGAGAUCAUAUAAGUCACUGACACCGGAGGAAUGCUUUGUGUGUAUCAAACGUCGCAACGUAACUGGGUGACUAUAAAGAUACUCUACAGUUAUCUCCGAAGGUGUUCGUUGAGUUAGUAUGGAUCAAGACUGGUAUUUGUCACUCCGUAUGACGGAGAGGUAUCUUGCGGCCCACUCGGUAAUACAGCAUCACACACAAGCCUUGCAAGCAAUCUGACUUAGUGUAACUUACGGGAUCUUGUAUUACGGAACGAGUAAAGAAACUUGCCGGUAAACGAGAUUGAAAUAGGUAUGCGGAUACUGACGAUUGACUCUCACGCAAGUAACAUACCGAAGGACAAAGGGAAUGACAUACGGGAUUAUAUGAAUCCUUGGCACUGAGGUUCAAACGAUAAGAUCUUCUGCUGUGCGAUCUACAAGGGUACGUAGAUCGGAAAUCCCCUCUCGUAGAUGGACAUCACCAUGAUAGGUCUUCGUGCGCGUAGGAAAUUUUUUGUUUCCCAUGUGACGUUCCCCAUCAGUGGCAUCAUGAGCUAGGUUCAUGCGUAGAUGUCUUCUCGAGUAGAACACAAAAGUUUUUGUGGGCGGUGAUGUGCGUUUUGCUGCCCUCCUUAGUCUUUUCUUGAUUCCGCGGUAUUGUUGGAUCGAAGCGGCUCGGACCGACAUUACUCGUACGCUAACGAGAGACUGGUUUCAUCGCUACGAGUAACUCCGUUGCUCAAAGAUGACUGGCGAGUGUCGGUUUCUCCAACUUUAGUUGAAUCGGAUUUGACCGAGGAGGUCCUUGGAUGAGGUUAAAUAGCAAUUCAUAUAUCUCCGUUGUGGUGUUUGCGUAAGGAAGAUGCGAUCCUACUAGAUACCCUUGGUCACCACGUAAAACAUGCAACAACAAUUAGAGGACGUCUAACNNNNNNNNNNNNNNNNNNNNNNNNNNNNNNNNNNNNNNNNNNNNNNNNNNNNNNNNNNNNNNNNNNNNNNNNNNNNNNNNNNNNNNNNNNNNNNNNNNNNCUAGUAGCACGAGGGUAUUGGAUACCGGUUUGGUUGCUAAGUGAUUAGUAACACGAAAUGAAAGCUACGGCAUAAACGGAGACUAGCUAAAGGCGAGGUGACGAUACGUGUUGGAAGUGUUUCCAAGGUUGAUAUGAUCAAACAUCGCACACUCCCUCUACCAUCGGGAUUGGUGUUAAACCUAAAUAAUUGUUAUUUGGUGCUUGCGUUAAGCAUAAACAUGAUUGGAUCGUGUUUAUUGCAAUACGAUUAUUCAUUUAAAGAGAAUAAUGGUUACUCUAUUUGCUUGAAUAAUCACCUUCAAUGGUUUAUUGAAUCUCGAUCGUAGUGUUACACAUGUUCAUGAUAUUGGUGCCAAAAGAGACGAGGUAAUGAUGAUAGUACCACUUACUUGUGGCACUGCCGCUUGAGUCAUGUUGGUAUAAAUUGCAUGAAGAGGCUCCAUGCUGAUGGAUCUUUAUACUCACUUGAUUUUCAAUCACUAGUGACAUGCAAAUCAUACCACAUGAGCAAGGCCUUGUUUUCAUUGAGAUGAAACAAGAUAGUAACUUGUUGGAAGUGAUACAUUUUGAUGUAUGAAGUCCAAUGGGUGAUGAGGCACGCAGUGGAUAUCAUUAUGUUCUUACUUCAAUGACGAUUUGAGUAGAUACAAGAGUAUUUACUUAAUGAAUCAUAAGUCCGAAAUAUUGAAAAGUUCAAUUCUUUUUCGGGAGCGAAGUUCAUCGUAACAAGAGGAUAAACUGUCUACGAUAUGAUCAUAGAAAUGAAUAUCUGAGUUACGAGUUUUGGUACGCAGUUAAGACAAUGUGGAAAUUGUUUCGCAGUUCAUGCCACCUCGAACAUCAUAGUGUGAUGAUGUGUCUGAAAGUCAUAGCCACGCACUAUUUGGUAUGGUGCAUGCUAUGAUGUCUCUUAUCGAAUUACCACUAUCGUUUAUGGGUUAUGCAUUAGAGACAGUCGCAUUCACUUUAAAUAGGGCACUGCGUAUUUCCGUUGAGAUGACACAGUAUAGACCGAGGUUUAGAGAAAUCUAAACUGUCGUUUCUUGAAAGUUUGGGGCUUCGACACUUAUGUGAAAAAGUUUCAGUCUGAUAAAGCUCGAACCCAAAGCAGAUAAAUGCAUCUUCAUAGGAUAUCCAAAACAGUUGGGUACAUAUCCUAUCUCAGAUCCGAAAGCAAAGUGUUUGUUUCUAGAAACGGAUCCUUUCUCGAGGAAAGGUUUCUCUCGAAAGAAUUGAGUGGGAGGGUGGUAGAACUCGAUGAGGUUAAUGAACCAUCACUUCAACCAGUGUGUAGCAGGGCGAAGGAAGUUGUUCCUGUGGCGCCUACACCAAUUGAAGUGAAAGCUGAUGAUGGUGAUCAUCGAGCAUCGGAUCAAGUUACUACAAGCCUCGUAGGUUGACAAGGUCGCGUACUACUGCAGAGUGGUACGGUAACCCUGUCUUGGAGGUCAUGUUCUUGAGCAACAGUGAACCUACGAGUUAUGGAGAAAGCAAUGGUGGGCCCGGAUUCCGACAAGUGGCUGGAAGCCAUGAAAUCCGAGAGAGGAUCCAUGUAUGAAAACAAAAGUGUAGACUUUGGAAGAACUACUUGAUGGUCAUGGGACUAUUGAGUAAAGAUGGAUCUUUAAAAGGAAGACAGACGAUGAUGGUGAUAAGUCACUAUUACGAAAAGCUCAACUUGUCGCAAAGAUGUUUCCAACAUGAUCAAACAGUUGACUAUGGUGAGACUUUCUCACUCGUAGCGAUGCUAAAAGUCUGUUAGAAUUAUGUUAGUAGUUGUUGCAUUAUUUUUGAAAUAUUGCACAUAGGAUGUCAAAACAUUGUUUCCUCGACGGUUUCCUUGAGCAAACAUUGUAUGUGAUACAACCAGAAGGUUUUGUCGAUCCUAAAGAUACUAACAAGUAUGCAAGCUCCAGCGGUCCUUCAAUGGACUGGUGCAAGCAUCUCGGAGUUGGAAUAUACACUUUGAUGAGAUGAUCAAAGAUUUUGGGUUUGUACAAGGUUUAUGAGAAACUUGUAUUUCCAAAGACGUGAGUGGGAGCACUAUAGAAUUUCUGAUAAGUAUAUGUGGUUGACAUAUUGUUGAUCAGAAGUAAUGUAGAAUUUCUGUGAAGCAUAAAAGGUUGUUUGAAAGGAGUUUUUCAAAGGAAUGCCUGGAUUGAGCUACUUGAACGUUGAGCAUCAAGAUCUAUGGAGAUAGAUCAAAACGCUUAAUAGAAGUUUCAACAAGAUGCAUGCCUUGACAAGUUAUUGAAGGAAUUCGAAAUAGAUCAGCAAAGAAGGAGUUCUUGACUGUGUUGUAAAGUGUGAAUUUGAGUAAGACUCAAAACCCGACCACGGCAGAAUAAAGAGAAUAGACGAAGGUCGUCUUCUAUGCCUUAGCCGUAGACUCUAAAGUAUGCCAUGCUGAGUACCGCACCUGAUGUGUGCCUUGCAGCAAGUCUGUUAAGAGGUACACAGAGUGAUCCAGGAUUGAAUCACUGAUCAGCGGUCAAAGUUAUCCUUAGUAACUAAAUAGACUAAGGAAUUUUUCUCGAUUAUGGAGGUGGUUAAAGAGUUCGUCAUAAAGGGUUACGUCGAUGCAAGCUUUGACACUAAUCCGAAUAACUAUGAGUAGUGAAACGGAUUCGUAUAGUAGAGUAGAUAUUUGGAGCAUUUCCGAAUAACACGUAGUAGCAGCAUCUAUAAGAUGACAUAAAGAUUUGUAAAGAACGCACGGAUCUGAAAGUUUCAGAACCGUUGACUAAAACCUCUCUCACGAGCAAGACGUGAUAAGACACCAGAACUAUAUGGGUGUUGGAUUCGUUGAAAUCACAUGGUGAUGUGAACUAGAUUAUUGACUCUAGUGCAAGUGGGGGACUGUUGGAAAUAUGCCCUAGAGGCAAUAAUAAUUAGUUAUUAUUAUAUUUCUUUGUUCAUGAUAAUCGUUUAUUAUCCAUGCUAUAAUUGUAUUGAUUGGAAACACAAUACUUGUGUGGAUACAUAGACAAAACACUCUCCCUCGUAAGCCUCUAGUUGACUAGCUCGUUGAUCAAAGAUGGUCAAGGUUUCCUCGCCAUAGGCAAGUGUUGUUACUUGAUAACGGGAUCACAUCAUUAGGAGAAUCAUGUGAUGGACUAGACCCAAACUAAUAGACGUAGCAUGUUGAUUGUGUCAUUUUGUUGCUACUGUUUUCUGCGUGUCAAGUAUUUGUUCCUAUGACCAUGAGAUCAUAUAAUUCACUGACACCGGAGGAAUGCUUUGUGUGUAUCAAACGUCGCAACGUAACUGGGUAACUAUAAAGAUGCUCUACAGGUAUCUCCGAAGGUGUUCGUUGAGUUAGUAUGGAUCAAGACUGGGAUUUGUCACUCCGUAUGACGGAGAGGUAUCUCGGGGCCCACUCGGUGAUACAACAUCACACACAAGCCUUGCAAGCAAUGUGACUUAGUGUAAGUUGCGGGAUCUUGUAUUACGGAACGAGUAAAGAAACUUGCCGGUAAACAAGAUUGAAAUAGUUAUGCGGAUACUGACGAUCGAAUCUCACGCAAGUAACAUACCGAAGUACAAAGGGAAUGACAUACGGGAUUAUAUGAAUCCUUGGCACUGAGGUUCAAACGAUAAGAUCUUCGUAUAAUAUGCAGGAUCCAAUAUGGGCAUCCAGGUCCCGCUAUUGGAUAUUGACCGAGGAGUCUCUCGGGUCAUGUCUACAUAGUUCUCGAACCCGCAGUGUCUGCACACUUAAGGUUCGACGUUGUUUUAUGCGUAUUUGAGUUAUAUGGUUGGUUACCGAAUGUUGUUCGGAGUCCUGGAUGAGAUCACGGACGUCACGAGGGUUUCCGGAAUGGUCCGGAAACAAAGAUUGAUGUAUAGGAUGACCUCAUUUGGUUACCUGAAGGUUUUCGUGCAUUACCGGAAAAGUUUCGGGCUCAUCGGUAGUGUACUGGGAGUGCCGGGAGGGGUGCCGGGGACCAUCAGGAGGGGUGUCACGCCCCAAGGGGUCUCAUGGGCUAUGGGAAGAGAUGAACCAGCCCCUAGUGGGCUGGAAUAAGUUCCCACUAAGGCCCAUAAGGUUUGAGAAGGAAAAAACACAAGGUGGAAAGAGUUUCCAAGUGGGAAGGUGGAAUCCUACUCCAAGUAGGAUUGGAGUAGGACUCCUCCACCUCCAAUUUCGGCCAAACCUUUAGGUUUUGAGGCUGCCUCCUCCCCUCCCUCCCUCCUAUAUAUAGUGGGGUUUUAGGGCUGAUUUGAGACAACUUUUGCCACGGCAGCCCGACCACAUACCUCCACGGUUUUACCUCUAGAUCGCGUUUCUGCGGAGCUCGGGCGGAGCCCUGCUGAGAUUAGAUCACCACCAACCUCCGGAGCGCCGUCAUGCUGCCGGAGAACUCAUCUACCUCUCCGUAUCUCUUGCUGGAUCAAGAAGGCCGAGAUCAUCGUCGAGUUGUACGUGUGCUGAACGCGGAGGUGCCGUCCGUUCGGCACUAGAUCGGAGCGGAUCGUGGGACGGAUCGCGGGACGGUUCGUGGGACGGUUCGCGGGGCAGAUCGAGGGACGUGAGGACGUUCCACUACAUCAACCGCGUUUCUUAACACUUCUGUUGUGCGAUCUACAAGGGUACGUAGAUCGGAAAUCCCCUCUCGUAGAUGGACAUCACCAUGAUAGGUCUUCGUGCGCGUAGGAAAUUUUUUGUUUCCCAUGUGACGUUCCCCAUCAGUGGCAUCAUGAGCUAGGUUCAUGCGUAGAUGUCUUCUCGAGUAGAACACAAAAGUUUUUGUGGGCGGUGAUUUGCGUUUUGCUGCCCUCCUUAGUCUUUUCUUGAUUCCGCGGUAUUGUUGGAUCGAAGCGGCUCCGACCGACAUUACUCGUACGCUAACGAGAGACUGGUUUCAUCGCUACGAGUAACUCCGUUGCUCAAAGAUGACUGGCGAGUGUCGGUUUCUCCAACUUUAGUUGAAUCGGAUUUGACCGAGGAGGUCCUUCGAUGAGGUUAAAUAGCAAUUCAUAUAUCUCCGUUGUGGUGUUUGCGUAAGGAAGAUGCGAUCCUNNNNNNNNNNNNNNNNNNNNNNNNNNNNNNNNNNNNNNNNNNNNNNNNNNNNNNNNNNNNNNNNNNNNNNNNNNNNNNNNNNNNNNNNNNNNNNNNNNNNCUUCGUUUCCGGACCAUUCCGGAAACCCUCGUGACGUCCGUGAUCUCAUCCGGGACUCCGAACAACAUUCAGUAACCAACCAUAUAACUCAAAUACGCAUAAAACAACGUCGAACCUUAAGUGUGGAGACCCUGCGGGUUCGAGAACUAUGUAGACAUGACCCGAGAGACUCCUCGGUCAAUAUCCAAUAGCGGGACCUGGAUGCCCAUAUUGGAUCCUACAUAUUCUACGAAGAUCUUAUCGUUUGAACCUCAGUGNUUACACUAAGUCACAUUGCUUGCAAGGCUUGUGCGUGAUGUUGUAUUACCGAGUGGGCCCCGAGAUACCUCUCCGUCAUACGGAGUGACAAAUCCCAGUCUUGAUCCAUACUAACUCAACGAACACCUUCGGAGAUACCUGUAGAGCAUCUUUAUAGUCACCCAGUUACGUUGCGACGUUUGAUACACACAAAGCAUUCCUCCGGUGUCAGUGAGUUAUAUGAUCUCAUGGUCAUAGGAACAAAUACUUGACACGCAGAAAACAGUAGCAACAAAAUGACACGAUCAACAUCCUACGUCUAUUAGUUUGGGUCUAGUCCAUCACAUGAUUCUCCUAAUGAUGUGAUCCCGUUAUCAAGUAACAACACUUGCCUAUGGUCAGGAAACCUUGACCAUCUUUGAUCAACGAGCUAGUCAUCUAGAGGCUUACUAGGGACAGUGUUUUUUCUAUGUAUCCACACAAGAUUGUGUUUCCAAUCAAUACAAUUAUAACAUGGAUAAUAAACGAUUAUCAUGAACAAAGAAAUAUAAUAAUAACUAAUUAUUAUUGCCUCCAUGGCAUAUUUCCAACAGUACUUUGUUUAUAUUUUGUUGCUCUUUUUUGUUUAGGAUGACAAAGACACUUUCGCUUAUCUGAGUUCUUUUUCAUGCUUACUCAGAAAGGAAAGGAUGAGAUCAUGUAUAAUGUUUAUCGAGAUCAUAGUAUCCCAGUGGCAAAAGCAACCAUUCUGUCAAUUGAUCGGAGAAAAGAGGUAGGUGGUCAGGAGCUUCGCUCUGAAUAUUGUGAGGUUUCCGUGAACUAUGUAAUAAAAAGGGAUGUUAUACUACCUCAUGGUGUUGGGAACACGACCACCAUGGGGCAAGCUCAAGGGCGAUGUAUCGUAUGGCCAUACAAGCAUGUGAGAUUUUGUUCUUAUUUUCUUAUGAUUAAACCUACCAAUGAUUAUGAUGGUUGAUUGCUGAAAAAGCUUUGCUUCUCUGUAUGUAGUUGGAAGUGGACAAGUCCAUGGAAAAAGCAGGAAUGCGACCACAAGCAGUAAGGAGGUAAUAUACAUGUUUCUCUUAGUUGCCCAGGAUUUCUAUAGAUUUCUAUGGAUUUGCUAGUAUGUUUUGGUUGUCAGCCCAUCUACAGUCCACUGACUUCCCUCAAAAAAAAAAAAUCUACAGUCCACUGACAACGAGCCAUCUCAUAUAUUAUUAUAUCCAAAGCCUGAAAGCCUCAAAGGUCUUGCUCUCGAGCAUGUAGCAGCUUGCAAGCAGCGCCACAACUACUUGCUAGUCAUGCAUAUGCUUAAUUAAUUUUCUAAUCAGAUGAAAAAAUCGCACCAUGACACUCAGAGAAGAAUUGAUUUGUUUUCGAGUCUGAUGACAGAAUCGUAUAUAUGCUUCAGAAUUUGAAAUAUUUUGUGCUCUUCUUUUAUUUGGCCCGCCCAACUUUUCCUUUCAAGCUCCACCACUGCUAUUGAGUAUCCUAUCUGUUGCAGGUUUCCCAAAGGUGCACAAGUUGAUGAAGAUUUGGAAGAUUUUCAAGCUCCUGAAGAUUUGGAAGACCUACAAUAGUUUUAUGUAAUAUGCUUGUUUAGUUUGUGAAACCUAGACACACUUGCUCCGCUCAUUUUGCUGGUCGAUAAGCCAUAUGCUCAUUUUGGUUGUGUGGCACACCCAGAAACAUGUAUUUCUCCAUUUGUCGCACUAUUUCAUUUUGUUGGUUGUGUGACACAUUUUAAAACAUAUGUGUGUUGUACGUUUUGUGGCACAACCUCCUUAUAUGUAUAUUAUGGUUGUUAUGUUUAUCCAAUGACAUUUUAAGGUUCUGGAUGAGGCCUGAUAUUAUUUUGAUUGAAGUGUUAUGUACAUGCUGGCAAAACAUAUAUGUAUAUUAUUUCUGGAUGAGGCCUGAUAUUAUGGUUGUGCUGCUGACUGAACAUACUAGAUGGAUAUUACAUAGGGGAUGCCCAGAACAAUUAGGUAGUGAAAUGUACAUGCUGGCAAAAUAACUGCCGGGUCAACACUCUUCUGCCGGCAGUUAGACUGCCAGUAACUGGUAGUCCACGUGUCUUGCCUAAUCUGCCGGGAGAAUAGAAACUGCCGGCAAAUAAAUGUACUAGGGCAGUGGGACUGCCGGGAAUAUUUUAUCUGCCGGGAGAAGUGAUCCCCGGCAGCGGUUCUCGUGGCGGUUCUGCCUGCGAGGAGAAAUACUUCCCCGGCAGAUAGUGUGCCGCUUAAAGUGGUUUCUCAGGGCAGUUUACAUGCCGUUGCNNNNNNNNNNNNNNNNNNNNNNNNNNNNNNNNNNNNNNNNNNNNNNNNNNNNNNNNNNNNNNNNNNNNNNNNNNNNNNNNNNNNNNNNNNNNNNNNNNNNAUGGAUCAAGACUGGGAUUUGUCACUCCGUAUGACGGAGAGGUAUCUCGGGGCCCACUCGGUAAUACAACAUCACGCACAAGCCUUGCAAGCAAUGUGACUUAGUGUAAGUUACGGGAUCUUGUAUUACGGAACGAGUAAAGAAACUUGCCGGUAAACGAGAUUGAAAUAGGUAUGCGGAUACUGACGAUUGAAUCUCACGCAAGUAACAUGCCGAAGGACAAAGGGAAUGACAUACGGGAUUAUAUGAACCCUUGGCACUGAGGUUCAAACGAUAAGAUCUUCGUAGAAUAUGUAGAAUCCAAUAUGGGCAUCCAGGUCCCGCUAUUGGAUAUUGACCGAGGAGUCUCUCGGGUCAUGUCUACAUAGUUCUCGAACCCGCAGGGUCUCCACACUUAAGGUUCGACGUUGUUUUAUGCGUAUUUGAGUUAUAUGGUUGGUUACUGAAUGUUGUUCGGAGUCCCGGAUGAGAUCACGGACGUCACGAGGGUUUCCGGAAUGGUCCGGAAACGAAGAUUGAUAUAUAGGAUGACCUCAUUUGGUUACCGGAAGGUUUUCGUGCAUUACCGGAAAAGUUUCGGGCUCAUCGGUAGUGUACUGGUAGUGCCGGGAGGGGUGCCGGGGACAUCAGGAGGGGUGUCACGCCCCAAGGGGUCUCAUGGGCUAUGGGAAGAGAUAAACCAGCCCCUAGUGGGCUGGAAUAAGUUCCCACUACGGCCCAUAAGGUUGGAGAAGGAAAAAACACAAGGUGGAAAGAGUUUCCAAGUGGGAAGGUGGAAUCCUACUCCAAGUAGGAUUGGAGUACAACUCCUCCACCUCCAAUUUCGGCCAAACCUUUAGGUUUUGAGGCUGCCUCCUCCCCUCCCUCCCUCCUAUAUAUAGUGGGGUUUUAGGGCUGAUUUGAGACAACUUUUGCCACGGCAGCCCGACCACAUACCUCCACGGUUUUACCUCUAGAUCGCGUUUCUGCGGAGCUCGAGCGGAGCCCUGCUGAGAUUAGAUCACCACCAACCUCCGGAGCGCCGUCAUGCUACCAGAGCACUCAUCUACCUCUCCGUCUCUCUUGCUGGAUCAAGAAGGCCGAGAUCAUCGUCGAGCUGUACGUGUGCUGAACGCGGAGGUGCCGUCCGUUCGGCACUAGAUCGGAGCGGAUCGUGGGACGGAUCGCGGGACGGUUCGUGGGACGGUUCGCAGGGCGGAUCGAGGAACGUGAAUACGUUCCACUACAUCAACCGCGUUUGUUAACGCUUCUGCUGUGCGAUCUACAAGGGUACCUAGAUCGGAAAUCCCCUCUCGUAGAUGGACAUCACCAUGAUAGGUCUUCGUGCACGUAGGACAAUUUUUGUUUCUCAUGCGACGUUCCCCAUCAGUGGCAUCAUGAGCUAGGUUCAUGCGUAGAUGUCUUCUCGAGUAGAACACAAAAGUUUUUGUGGGCGGUGAUGUGCGUUUUGCUUCCCUCCUUAGUCUUUUCUUGAUUCCGCGGUAUUGUUGGAUCGAAGCGGCUCGGACCGACAUUACUCGUACGCUUACGAGAGACUGGUUUCAUCGCUACGAGUAACUCCGUUGCUCAAAGAUGACUGGCGAGUGUCGGUUUCUCAAACUUUAGUUGAAUCGGAUUUGACCGAGGAGGUCCUUGGAUGAGGUUAAAUAGCAAUUCAUAUAUCUUCGUUGUGGUGUUUGCGUAAGUAAGAUGCGAUCCUACUAGAUACCCUUGGUCACCACGUAAAACAUGCAACAACAAUUAGAGGACGUCUAACUUGUUUUUGCAGGGUAUGCUUGUGAUGUGAUAUGGCCAACGAUGUGAUGUGAUAUAUUGGAUGUAUGAGUUGAUCAUGUUGUAAUAGUUAAUGUCGACUUGCACGUCGAUGGUACGACAACCGCCAGGAGCCAUAGGGUUGUCUUUAAACUACCCUUUGUGCUUGCAGAUGCGUUUACUAUAUUGCUAGGACGUAGCUUUAGUAGUAAUAGCAUGAGUAGCACGACAACCCCGAUGGCGACACGUUGAUGGAGAUCAUGAUGAUGGAGAUCAUGGUGUGACGCCGGUGAUAAGAAGAUUGUGCCGGUGCUUUGGUGAUGGAGAUCAAGAAGCACAUGAUGAUGGCCAUAUCAUGUCACUUAUGAAUUGCAUGUGAUGUUAAUCCUUUAUGCACCUUAUCUUGCUUAGAACGACGGUAGCAUUAUCAGGUGAUCUAUCACUAAAAUUUCAAGAAGAAAUUGUGUUCUCCCCGUCUGUGCACCGUUGCGACACUUCUUCGUUUCGAGACACCACGUGAUGAUCGGGUGUGAUAGACUCAACGUUCACAUACAACGGGUGCAAAACAGUUGCACACGCGGAACACUCGGGUUAAGCUUGACGAGCCUAGCAUGUGCAGACGUGGCCUCGGAACACAUGAGACCGAAAGGUCGAGCAUGAAUCGUAUAGUUGAUAUGAUUAGCAUAGAGAUGCUUACCACUGAAACUAUUCUAGACUCACGUGAUGAUCGGACUUGAGAUAGUGGAUUUGGAUCAUGUACCACUCAAAUGACUAGAGAGAUGUACUUUUUGAGUGGGAGUUCUNNNNNNNNNNNNNNNNNNNNNNNNNNNNNNNNNNNNNNNNNNNNNNNNNNNNNNNNNNNNNNNNNNNNNNNNNNNNNNNNNNNNNNNNNNNNNNNNNNNNAUUGGAGAAAGGGAGAGCUGGAUCCCCAAACAUGAGAGGUCGAUCCUAGCUUUAGUGAUACUAGAUGACCAGUUUCGUCAAUUGGCGCAAAUGGCGGAGUUACUCAAAAAGAAAUGAAUGGUAAUCUAUUCCCAAGAUUAUCGACUUCAAAAAUAAGAAAUUGUGAUAAUCAGAAUAUACAUUUUAGGUGGUGAAUUAUCGAUAUAUUUAUUCCAUGUAAGAACUAAAGCCAAUCAGUAAGCGGAGACCUCAUUAGGUUGUAUAAAAUAAGCAGAGACCUCACCGGAUCGCAAAAAUCAGCAAAGACAUCAUCCCUUUGAAAAAGCAAGCAACAUGUUGUGUCACUGUGCAUUNCUGCGUGAUGCCCUGCUGUAGGAAAAGCAUCGAUUCAUGGAUGCAUACAAAAACAAACAAGUGCCUAUUACACACAGCACACCACACAACGACCUUCUGAGCAUAUGUGGAUUAUCUUCUCAAGGGGCAGCCUGUGUCGCAGCAGAUCAUGCCCUCUAUUUGAAGCAGCAGUGCAUACUUGAAUGACUAUACCCAUCAUUUAUACAUCCAAUGGAAUUAAUUCACAUUUCACUCAGGUGGAAGAGACAUGGGCGAAAGAGAGUUGGGGNNNNNNNNNNNNNNNNNNNNNNNNNNNNNNNNNNNNNNNNNNNNNNNNNNNNNNNNNNNNNNNNNNNNNNNNNNNNNNNNNNNNNNNNNNNNNNNNNNNNAAACAAGUGCCUAUUACACACAGCACACCACACAACGACCUUCUGAGCAUAUGUGGAUUAUCUUCUCAAGGGGCAGCCUGUGUCGCAGCAGAUCAUGCCCUCUAUUUGAAGCAGCAGUGCAUACUUGAAUGACUAUACCCAUCAUUUAUACAUCCAAUGGAAUUAAUUCACAUUUCACUCAGGUGGAAGAGACAUGGGCGAAAGAGAGUUGGGGUCGCCAAACGUGAGGGCAAGAUCCUAGCUUUAAUGAUACAAAAUGACCCGUUGCGUCAAUUGGCGCAAAUGGUAGAGUUACGUGAGAGAAAUUUAUGGUAAUCUAUUCCUAAGAUCAUUGACUUCAAAAAUAAAUAAGCGAGAUCUUCCUAAUAUAUGCUCUAGGUGGUGAGGUAUUAACACUACACCACAACACUAAUGCAACGGCAUGUAAACUGCCCUGAGAAACCACUUUAAGCGGCACACUAUCUGCCGGGGAAGUAUUUCUCCUCGCAGGCAGAACCGCCACGAGAACCGCUGCCGGGGAUCACUUCUCCCGGCAGAUAAAAUAUUCCCAGCAGUCCCACUGCCCUAGUACAUUUAUUUGCCGGCAGUUUCUAUUCUCCCGGCAGAUCAGGCAAGACACGUGGACUACCAGUUACUGGCAGUCUAACUGCCGGCAGAAGAUUGUUGACCCGGCAGUUAUUUUGCCAGCAUGUACAUUUCACUACCUAAUUGUUCUGGGCAUCCCCUAUGUANNNNNNNNNNNNNNNNNNNNNNNNNNNNNNNNNNNNNNNNNNNNNNNNNNNNNNNNNNNNNNNNNNNNNNNNNNNNNNNNNNNNNNNNNNNNNNNNNNNNGCUGCGCAGAAGGCUUAUGUCCUUAAUGCACCACUCGGUGUGCUGCACCUCGAGCGUCGUCUGUAGAUGUUGUGAACAUCCGACAUACACGUUUUUGAUGACUUCACGAUAGUUCAGUACAAAAUACUUAAUGGCUUAGAAGCAAGGCGCCGAAGACGUUUUGAAACAUCACGGAACAUAAGAGAUGUUCUAAAGAGAUGAAAUUGUGAUUUCAUGCUUGUGCCCUUGUUAAGAGGUAUGAGACCUCCGACAAGAUUCUUUGUCCACGAAGUAGAGGAGAAAAGCUCAAUCAUUGAGAGUGUGCUAAGAUUAUCUGAGUACGACUAUCGCUUGAAUCAAGUGGGAGUUGAUCUUCCAGAUAAGAUAGUGAUGGUUCUCCAAAGUCAUUGCCACCAAGCUGUGAGAGCUUCGUGAUCAACUAUAACAUAUCAAGGAUAGAUACAAUGAUCCUUGAGUGAUUCGAGAUGUUUGACACUGCGAAAGUAGAAAUCAAGAAGGAGCAUCAAUAGUUGAUGGUUAGUAAAACCACUAAGUUUCGAGAAAGGUAAGGGCUAGAAGGGAUACUUCGUGAAACGGCAAAGCAGUUGCUGCCCUAAUGAAGAGACCCCAGAUUAAACCCAAGCCCGGGACUAAGUGCUUCUGUUAUGAGGGGAACGGUCACUGAGGCGGAGCAACUCUAGAUACUUGGUAGAUAAGAAGGCUGGCAAAAGUCGAAAGAAGUAUAUUUGAUAUACAUGANNNNNNNNNNNNNNNNNNNNNNNNNNNNNNNNNNNNNNNNNNNNNNNNNNNNNNNNNNNNNNNNNNNNNNNNNNNNNNNNNNNNNNNNNNNNNNNNNNNNGUGAGGUCUUGGCUUAUUUUUGACGACAUGGUGAAGUCUUCGCGUACUGAUUGGCUUUAAGUUUUCAAAACGGAAAGUCGAUAUUGUUUUAUCACACCUACCGCGCGCCAGAACAAAUCAGCUGCUGGAAAAGAUAAUAAUCCACGAUGUUACGACAGGUUAGUUACUUUUUUCAAACUUAUGAAAUCUCCGUUUAUUUAUUUUUUCGAACAACUGAGGUCUCCGCUUCCUGAGUGGCUUGAAUUUUUCGCACAAGCACAUGUAUUGGAAUUUUCCCCGUACGUACAAGUGGAUGUUCUUGUUUCCCUACUGAAAGGAGAAUAAUAAUGGCUCUAAGAUUAGCUAAAGCAACCCAUCGAGCUAGCUUGUGCACUAGUAUAAAUACACAACUCACGGUGACAGCAAAUCUCAUCCAUCAUUACACACACGCACUUCUUUCCUUCAUUCCCUAAGGCAGCAUUAGUGAUGGAGUACUCUCCAAAGCUAGCUGCAGCACUGCUCUUAGCCCUCACGUCCGCCAUGAUCGUCACCGCCCAGAAUGACGACGCUGACUACAUGGUGAAUGCCCACAACGAAGUGCGCGCCGCCGNUCGGUGUGGGGCCGGUGACGUGGGACCCCAUAGUGGCGGCGUACGCGCAGUCAUUCGCGGAGAAGCGCCGCGCCGACUGCCAGCCAAUACUCUCUCCGGAGGGCGGUCCAUACGGAGAGAACAUCUUUCGAGCCCCUGGUACCGAAUGGAAUGCGAUAGACGCAGUGAUUUAUUGGGCGUCCGGGAAGCAGUACUACGACCNNNNNNNNNNNNNNNNNNNNNNNNNNNNNNNNNNNNNNNNNNNNNNNNNNNNNNNNNNNNNNNNNNNNNNNNNNNNNNNNNNNNNNNNNNNNNNNNNNNNGUUAAGAGGUAUGAGACCUCCGACAAGAUUCUUUGUCCACGAAGUAGAGGAGAAAAGCUCAAUCAUUGAGUGUGUGCUUAGAUUAUCUGAGUACGACAAUCGCUUGAAUCAAGUGGGAGUUGAUCUUCCAGAUAAGAUAGUGAUGGUUCUCCAAAGUCACUGCCACCAAGCUGUGAGAGCUUCGUGAUGAACAACAUAUCAAGGAUAGAUACAAUGAUCCUUGAGCGAUUCGCGAUGUUUGACACUGCGAAAGUAGAAAUCAAGAAGGAGCAUCAAUAGUUGAUGGUUAGUAAAACCACUAAGUUUCGAGAAAGGUAAGGGUUAGAAGGGAUACUUCGUGAAACGGCAAAGCAGUUGCUGCCCUAAUGAAGAGACCCCAGAUUAAACCCAAGCCCGGGACUAAGUGCUUCUGUUAUGAGGGGAACGGUCACUGAGGCGGAGCAACUCUAGAUACUUGGUAGAUAAGAAGGCUGGCAAAAGUCGAAAGAAGUAUAUUUGAUAUACAUGAUGUUGAUGUGUACUUUACUAGUACUCCUAGUAGCACGAGGGUAUUGGAUACCGGUUUGGUUGCUAAGUGAUUAGUAACACGAAAUGAAAGCUACGGCAUAAACGGAGACUAGCUAAAGGCGAGGUGACGAUACGUGUUGGAAGUGUUUCCAAGGUUGAUAUGAUCAAACAUCGCACACUCCCUCUACCAUCGGGAUUGGUGUUAAACCUAAAUAAUUGUUAUUUGGUGCUUGCGUUAAGCAUAAACAUGAUUGGAUCGUGUUUAUUGCAAUACGAUUAUUCAUUUAAAGAGAAUAAUGGUUACUCUAUUUGCUUGAAUAAUCACCUUCAAUGGUUUAUUGAAUCUCGAUCGUANNNNNNNNNNNNNNNNNNNNNNNNNNNNNNNNNNNNNNNNNNNNNNNNNNNNNNNNNNNNNNNNNNNNNNNNNNNNNNNNNNNNNNNNNNNNNNNNNNNNUAGGUUCAUGCGUAGAUGUCUUCUCGAGUAGAACACAAAAGUUUUUGUGGGCGGUGAUGUGCGUUUUGCUGCCCUCCUUAGUCUUUUCUUGAUUCCGCGGUAUUGUUGGAUCGAAGCGGCUCGGACCGACAUUACUCGUACGCUAACGAGAGACUGGUUUCAUCGCUACGAGUAACUCCGUUGCUCAAAGAUGACUGGCGAGUGUCGGUUUCUCCAACUUUAGUUGAAUCGGAUUUGACCGAGGAGGUCCUUNGGAUGAGGUUAAAUAGCAAUUCAUAUAUCUCCGUUGUGGUGUUUGCGUAAGGAAGAUGCGAUCCUACUAGAUACCCUUGGUCACCACGUAAAACAUGCAACAACAAUUAGAGGACGUCUAACUUGUUUUUGCAGGGUAUGCUUGUGAUGUGAUAUGGCCAACGAUGUGAUGUGAUAUAUUGGAUGUAUGAGCUGAUCAUGUUGUAAUAGUUAAUAUCGACUUGCACGUCGAUGGUACGACAACCGGCAGGAGCCAUAGGGUUGUCUUUAAACUAACGUUUGUGCUUGCAGAUGCGUUUACUAUAUUGCUAGGACGUAGCUUUAGUAGUAAUAGCAUGAGUAGCACGACAACCCCGAUGGAGACACGUUGAUGGAGAUCAUGAUGAUGGAGAUCAUGGUGUGACGCCGGUGAUAAGAAGAUAGUGCCGGUGCUUUGGUGAUGGACAUCAAGAAGCACAUGAUGAUGGCCAUAUCAUGUCACUUAUGAAUUGCAUGUGAUGUUAAUCCUUUAUGCACCUUAUCUUGCUUAGAACGACGGUAGCAUUAUGAGGUGAUCUCUCACUAAAAUUUCAAGAUGAAAUUGUGUUCUCCCCGACUGUGCACCGUUGCGACAAUUCUUCGUUUCGAGACACCACGUGAUGAUCGGGUGUGAUAGACUCAACGUUCANNNNNNNNNNNNNNNNNNNNNNNNNNNNNNNNNNNNNNNNNNNNNNNNNNNNNNNNNNNNNNNNNNNNNNNNNNNNNNNNNNNNNNNNNNNNNNNNNNNNCGUACAAGAGAUGGACUAAUAAGGCAUACAACGGAUGCACCUGCUUUGAAGGACUUUGAUGGCAAAUAUCUAGAUUUUGCUAAAGAUAGUCGCAACAUGAGGAUGCUUGUAGCAUCUGGUGGUUUUAAUCCAUUUAGGACAAUGAAGUUAUCCUAUAGUGUCUGGCCUGUUUUAGUAAUUCCAUUGAAUCUUCCUCCUUGGUUGUGCAUGAAGCAGCAUAAUUUCAUCCUCUCUUUGCUAAUUCCUGGUCCAAGGUCACCUGGGAGAGAUAUAGAUGUAUUUCUUGAACCACUUAUUGAUGAUUUGAACUCGCUUUUUGAGGAGGGUGUUAGAACCUAUGAUGCCUCGACCGGUAAACCCUUCAACCUGCAUGCUGCUGUAUUGUCAACUACAUCAGACCUCCCAGGCUUAUGCACUCUAUCAGGGAUUGUAACCUCUGGUGAAUUUGGUUGUCCAUUGUGUGGCUCACAUACUUGCUCUCUUCGGUUGAAGGAAGGCAAGAAAUUUUUCUAUAUGGGACAUCGAAGGUCUCUUGAUCCUAAGCAUGAAUACAGAUUUGAUGAAGAAUCCUUUGAUGGUGUGGAAUUAGGGACAACACCUGUACCGCUUACUGGAGAGGAAGUUUUGGCCCUCACUGAAAAUAUGAAGACUGUUUUUGGAAAGGACCCUUCCGGGAAAACAACCACGAAGAAGAGCAAGGUUGGCGAACCACCAAUGGUUCGGAAAAAAAAAUCCAUAUGGUUUAGGUUGAGAUACUCGAAAGACUUGCUCCUGCCUCAUAAUCUUGAUGCAAUGCACAUUGAAAAGAAUGUAUGUGAAAAUAUAAUUAACACACUUCUAUGCAUGGAUAAAAAAUCAAAAUAUAAUUAUAGCUCUCGUAGAGAUCUAGAGCAUCUCGGAAUAAGAAAAGCUCUCCAACCUGUCCUAGUAGGUGAACAAUUUGAUUUGCAUGCUGCACCCUAUGCAAUGGACAAUGAAACGAAGAAACUGUUUUGUGAAAUUUUGAAGGAAGCUAGGUUCCCUGAUGGUUGUGCAUCUGAUAUAUGCCGGNNNNNNNNNNNNNNNNNNNNNNNNNNNNNNNNNNNNNNNNNNNNNNNNNNNNNNNNNNNNNNNNNNNNNNNNNNNNNNNNNNNNNNNNNNNNNNNNNNNNAUUUCUUCUCGUAUUGUAUUUCUUGUUGCUUGUACUAGAUAUUGUUGAUCUGCACUUUGUUACUAGAUUUUUUCCUUAAUAGAAGUAUACUUUCUCGCAUGUUAGGCAAUUUUAGUGAAACUGGUCAAGAAUGGACAAGAGUUGGAUGGAUAAAGCUAGAAAUACACAAGCAUAUAUAGACGGGGUAGAGAAAUUCAUAGAUUUUGCUUUUACGCAUUCAGCAAGAGGGAACACUAUACUAUGUCCUUGUAGAAUUUGCUUGAACUGUUGUUGGUUUGAAGCUAAUGUUGUCUAUGAGCACUUGUUAUGCGAUGAGUUUAUUAAUGGGUACAAACGAUGGAUAUAUCAUGGGGAGGCAUCAUCAUCUCUUGCAUCUGAGAGUGACCAUGGUGAGGUUCAACCUGAUGAUUUUCAAGAGGAGAAAGACUUAGAUGACUAUGAUGAGAUGCUUGAAAUGAUUCAAGAUAUAACACAUCAAAAUGGGGAUUUUAGUGGUGGUACUAGCGGGGAGGAUCCAAGUCGCCAGGAUGCAGAGCCUGAGGGCGUCGACCCUCUUCUAGAGAAGAAAAAGAAUAAGGAUGAAGAUGCUUUCCGACAAUUCAUAGCNNNNNNNNNNNNNNNNNNNNNNNNNNNNNNNNNNNNNNNNNNNNNNNNNNNNNNNNNNNNNNNNNNNNNNNNNNNNNNNNNNNNNNNNNNNNNNNNNNNNUUGAAGGAAUUCGAAAUAGAUCAGCAAAGAAGGAGUUCUUGACUGUGUUGUAAAGUGUGAAUUUGAGUAAGACUCAAAACCCGACCACGGCAGAAUAAAGAGAAUAGACGAAGGUCGUCUUCUAUGCCUUAGCCGUAGACUCUAAAGUAUGCCAUGCUGAGUACCGCACCUGAUGUGUGCCUUGCAGCAAGUCUGUUAAGAGGUACACAGAGUGAUCCAGGAUUGAAUCACUGAUCAGCGGUCAAAGUUAUCCUUAGUAACUAAAUAGACUAAGGAAUUUUUCUCGAUUAUGGAGGUGGUUAAAGAGUUCGUCAUAAAGGGUUACGUCGAUGCAAGCUUUGACACUAAUCCGAAUAACUAUGAGUAGUGAAACGGAUUCGUAUAGUAGAGUAGAUAUUUGGAGCAUUUCCGAAUAACACGUAGUAGCAGCAUCUAUAAGAUGACAUAAAGAUUUGUAAAGAACGCACGGAUCUGAAAGUUUCAGAACCGUUGACUAAAACCUCUCUCACGAGCAAGACGUGAUAAGACCCCAGAACUAUAUGGGUGUUGGAUUCGUUGAAAUCACAUGGUGAUGUGAACUACAUUAUUGACUCUAGUGCAAGUGGGAGACUGUUGGAAAUAUGCCCUAGAGGCAAUAAUAAUUAGUUAUUAUUAUAUUUCUUUGUUCAUGAUAAUCGUUUAUUAUCCAUGCUAUAAUUGUAUUGAUUGGAAACACAAUACUUGUGUGGAUACAUAGACAAAACACUGUCCCUAGUAAAUCUCUAGUUGACUAGCUCGUUGAUCAAAGAUGGUCAAGGUUUCCUGGCCAUAGGCAAGUGUUGUUACUUGAUAACGGGAUCACAUCAUUAGGAGAAUCAUGUGAUGGACUAGACCCAAACUAAUAGACGUAGCAUGUUGAUCGUGUCAUUUUGUUGCUACUGUUUUCUGCGUGUCAAGUAUUUGUUCCUAUGACCAUGAGAUCAUAUAAUUCACUGACACCGGAGGAAUGCUUUGUGUGUAUCAAACGUCGCAACGUAACUGGGUAACUAUAAAGAUGCUCUACAGGUAUCUCCGAAGGUGUUCGUUGAGUUAGUAUGGAUCAAGACUGGGAUUUGUCACUCCGUAUGACGGAGAGGUAUCUCGGGGCCCACUCGGUNNNNNNNNNNNNNNNNNNNNNNNNNNNNNNNNNNNNNNNNNNNNNNNNNNNNNNNNNNNNNNNNNNNNNNNNNNNNNNNNNNNNNNNNNNNNNNNNNNNNGACCGACAUUACUCGUACGCUAACGAGAGACUGGUUUCAUCGCUACGAGUAACUCCGUUGCUCAAAGAUGACUGGCGAGUGUCGGUUUCUCCAACUUUAGUUGAAUCGGAUUUGACCGAGGAGGUCCUUGGAUGAGGUUAAAUAGCAAUUCAUAUAUCUCCGUUGUGGUGUUUGCGUAAGGAAGAUGCGAUCCUACUAGAUACCCUUGGUCACCACGUAAAACAUGCAACAACAAUUAGAGGACGUCUAACUUGUUUUUGCAGGGUAUGCUUGUGAUGUGAUAUGGCCAACGAUGUGAUGUGAUAUAUUGGAUGUAUGAGUUGAUCAUGUUGUAAUAGUUAAUGUCGACUUGCACGUCGAUGGUACGACAACCGCCAGGAGCCAUAGGGUUGUCUUUAAACUACCCUUUGUGCUUGCAGAUGCGUUUACUAUAUUGCUAGGACGUAGCUUUAGUAGUAAUAGCAUGAGUAGCACGACAACCCCGAUGGUGACACGUUGAUGGAGAUCAUGAUGAUGGAGAUCAUGGUGUGACGCCGGUGAUAAGAAGAUCGUGCCGGUGCUUUGGUGAUGGACAUCAAGAAGCACAUGAUGAUGGCCAUAUCAUGUCACUUAUGAAUUGCAUGUGAUGUUAAUCCUUUAUGCANCCUUAUCUUGCUUAGAACGACGGUAGCAUUAUGAGGUGAUCUCUCACUAAAAUUUCAAGAUGAAAUUGUGUUCUCCCCGACUGUGCACCGUUGCGACAAUUCUUCGUUUCGAGACACCACGUGAUGAUCGGGUGUGAUAGACUCAACGUUCACAUACAACGGGUGCAAAACAGUUGCACACACGGAACACUCGGGUUAAGCUUGACGAGCCUAGCAUGUGCAGACAUGGCCUCGAAACACAUGAGACCGAAAGGUCGAGCAUGAAUCGUAUAGUUGAUAUGAUUAGCAUAGAGAUACUUACCACUGAAACUAUUCUCGACUCACGUGAUGAUCGGAGUUGAGAUAGUGGAUUUGGAUCAUGUACCACUCAAAUGACUAGAGAGAUGUACUUUUUGAGUGGGAGUUCUUAAGUAAUAUGAUUAAUUGAACUAAUUGUCAUGAACAUAGUCUAAUGGUCUUUGCGAAUUAUGAUGUAGCUUGCGUUAUAGCUCUACUGUUUUUAUAUGUUCCUAGAGAAAAUUUAGUUGAAAGUUGAUAGUAGCAAACUUUGUAGACUCNNNNNNNNNNNNNNNNNNNNNNNNNNNNNNNNNNNNNNNNNNNNNNNNNNNNNNNNNNNNNNNNNNNNNNNNNNNNNNNNNNNNNNNNNNNNNNNNNNNNGGGACAUUUGAUUUUUAACUUGCACCUUGAUUAAGUAGAACUUUUCAUGAGAGUUGUGCUCUAUUAAUAUAGUAGUAUAUUAUUAUUUGCUAUGUUAUCCAUAUUAUUGCCCAUAAAUCAGCGCAUUUCAUGUGAAAAAAUUCGGGCAUCGUUGCUAAACAACCUUCGAUAAGCAUCACUACAAGGCCACUAAAAUAUUUUCUCAGUUUCGUUGAAGUUUGUUAUUUCAUUUUGAAAACACAUUGCUUAAAUCAGAUUAUUUAAAAUAUAAGAGACAUGUAAAUUUUGUUCUCUAGAACACAAAUAUGUUGCUUGAACUUAAGGUCUACGUGAUAUUGUGCUUGUUCUUUUCUCGUUCCAACUAUACUAGAGACCCAUCCAGAGCAAAGCCCGGAUACAACCAGAAUAAGAAGCUCAAAUACAACAAAUCAAAGAUGAAUCACAAGUUACAAGACAAAUACCAAAACAAUCAAAGCCCGGAACGAUACAGGCGUGAAGGCAGGAGGGUUUCUGGACACACACACAUAUCCGUGACAUCAAUCGACCGAUAAUUACUUACCAGCCCUAGAAGUAUCCCUUAAUUAUUUAUUUAUGCAGCACGGUGCUAUGUGCAUGCAUGCAUACAUAGCCGCAUGCAUACUUGAUACGUAGCCUAGUAUGGAAUCUGCCCAACCAUGUGAGGCGGACUGUAGCCGCAGAUGACAAACACACCGGCAUUGCCGUCACAGACGACAGCGCCGCAACUGAUGGUCUUCGUGUCCCUCCAUACCAAAUUCAGGUAUUCACCGCACGACUCACCCGUAGGUGCGGAGCAAGUGUUGGUGGCGUGGUCGUAGUACUGCUUCCCGGACGCCCAAUAAAUCACUGCGUCUAUCGCAUUCCAUUCGGUACCAGGGGCUCGAAAGAUGUUCUCUCCGUAUGGACCGCCCUCCGGAGAGAGUAUUGGCUGGCAGUCGGCGCGGCGCUUCUCCGCGAAUGACUGCGCGUACGCCGCCACUAUGGGGUCCCACGUCACCGGCCCCACACCGACGGNCGGCGCGCACUUCGUUGUGGGCAUUCACCAUGUAGUCAGCGUCGUCAUUCUGGGCGGUGACGAUCAUGGCGGACGUGAGGGCUAAGAGCAGUGCUGCAGCUAGCUUUGGAGAGUACUCCAUCACUAAUGCUGCCUUAGGGAAUGAAGGAAAGAAGUGCGUGUGUGUAAUGAUGGAUGAGAUUUGCUGUCACCGUGAGUUGUGUAUUUAUGCUAGUGCACAAGCUAGCUCGAUGGGUUGCUUUAGCUAAUCUUAGAGCCAUUAUUAUUCUCCUUUCAGUAGNNNNNNNNNNNNNNNNNNNNNNNNNNNNNNNNNNNNNNNNNNNNNNNNNNNNNNNNNNNNNNNNNNNNNNNNNNNNNNNNNNNNNNNNNNNNNNNNNNNNUACGAUCGAGAUUCAAUAAACCAUUGAAGGUGAUUAUUCAAGCAAAUAGAGUAACCAUUAUUCUCUUUAAAUGAAUAAUCGUAUUGCAAUAAACACGAUCCAAUCAUGUUUAUGCUUAACGCAAGCACCAAAUAACAAUUAUUUAGGUUUAACACCAAUCCCGAUGGUAGAGGGAGUGUGCGAUGUUUGAUCAUAUCAACCUUGGAAACACUUCCAACACGUAUCGUCACCUCGCCUUUAGCUAGUCUCCGUUUAUGCCGUAGCUUUCAUUUCGUGUUACUAAUCACUUAGCAACCAAACCGGUAUCCAAUACCCUCGUGCUACUAGAAGUACUAGUAAAGUACACAUCAACAUCAUGUAUAUCAAAUAUACUUCUUUCGACUUUUGCCAGCCUUCUUAUCUACCAAGUAUCUAGAGUUGCUCCGCCUCAGUGACCGUUCCCCUCAUAACAGAAGCACUUAGUCCCGGGCUUGGGUUUAANUCUGGGGUCUCUUCAUUAGGGCAGCAACUGCUUUGCCGUUUCACGAAGUAUCCCUUCUAUCCCUUACCUUUCUCGAAACUUAGUGGUUUUACUAACCAUCAACUAUUGAUGCUCCUUCUUGAUUUCUACUUUCGCAGUGUCAAACAUCACGAAUCUCUCAAGGAUCAUUGUAUCUAUCCUUGAUAUGUUAUAGUUUAUCACGAAGCUCUCACAGCUUGGUGGCAUUGACUUUGGAGAACCAUCACUAUCUUAUCUGGAAGAUCAACUCCCACUUGAUUCAAGCGAUGGUCGUACUCAGAUAAUCUGAGCACACGCUCAAUGAUUGAGCUUUUCUCCUCUACUUCGUGGACAAAGAAUCUUGUCGGAGGUCUCAUACCUCUUAACAAGGGCACAAGCAUGAAAUCACAAUUUCAUCUCUUUAGAACAUCUCUUAUGUUCCGUCAAGUUUCAAAAAGUCUUCGGCGCCUUGCUUCUAAGCCAUUAAGUAUUUUGUACUGAACUAUCGUGGAGUCAUCACAAACGUGUAUGUCGGAUGUUCACUACAUCUACAGACGACGCUCGAGGUGCAGCACACCGAGUGGUGCAUUAAGGACAUAAGCCUUCUGCGCAGCAACGAGGACAAUCCUCGGCUUUACAAACUGAGUCUGCAAAGUUUGCUACUAUCAACUUUCAACUAAAUUUUCUCUAGGAACAUAUAAAAAUAGUAGAGCUAUAGCGCAAGCUACAUCAUAAUUCGCAAAGACCAUUAGACUAUGUUCAUGACAGUUAGUUCAAUUAAUCAUAUUACUUAAGAACUCCCACUCAAAAAGUACAUCUCUCUAGUCAUUUGAGUGGUNNNNNNNNNNNNNNNNNNNNNNNNNNNNNNNNNNNNNNNNNNNNNNNNNNNNNNNNNNNNNNNNNNNNNNNNNNNNNNNNNNNNNNNNNNNNNNNNNNNNAAGGAAAGAAGUGCGUGUGUGUAAUGAUGGAUGAGAUUUGCUGUCACCGUGAGUUGUGUAUUUAUGCUAGCUCGAUGGGUUGCUUUAGCUAAUCUUAGAGCCAUUAUUAUCCUCCUAUCAGUAGGGAAACAAGAAUAUCCACUUGUACGUACGGGGAAAAUUCCAUAAGCGGAGACCUCAGUUGUUCGAAAAAAUAAAAUAAACGGAGACUUCAUCAGUUUGAAAACUUAACCUGUCUUAACCUGAUUUGUUCUGGCGCGCGGUAGGUGUGAUAAAACAAUAUCGACUUUCCAUUUUGAAAACUUAAAGCCAAUCAGUACGCGAAGACUUCACCAUGUCGUCAAAAAUAAGCCAAGACCUCACCCGGUCAUAAAAAAAAUAAGUAGAGCCCUCAUUAAUUUAUAAAAAGUAACCAACAUGCUAUGUCACCCUGAAUGCUGCGUCAAGCCCUGCUGUAGAAAAAGCAUCGAUUCAUGGAAGCAUAAAUAAGCAAAGCAUUGCCUAUUACACAUGGUAUGCCACAUAAUAAUAUUCCGAGCAGAUGUGGAUUAGCUUCUCAAGAAGCAACCUGUGUACAGCAAAUCGUGCCCUAUUUGAAGCAGCAAUACGUACUAGGUUGAAUAUACCAACCAUGUAUGCAUCCAAUUGAAUUAAUUAACGAUUUUUUCAAGUGGAAGGGACAUUGGAGAAAGGGAGAGCUGGAUCCCCAAACAUGAGAGGUCGAUCCUAGCUUUAGUGAUACUAGAUGACCGGUUCCGUCAAUUGGCGCAAAUGGCGGAGUUACUCAAAAAGAAAUGAAUGGUAAUCUAUUCACAAGAUUAUCGACUUCAAAAAUAAGAAAUUGUGAUAAUCAGAAUAUACAUUUUAGGUGGUGAAUUAUCGAUAUAUUUAUUCCAUGUAAGAACUAAAGCCACUCAGUAAGCGAAGACCUCAUUAGGUUGUAUAAAAUAAGCAGAGACCUCACCGAAUCGCAAAAAUCAGCAAAGACAUCAUCCCUUUGAAAAAGCAAGCAACAUGUUGUGUCACUGUGCAUGCUGCGUGAUGCCCUGCUGUAGGAAAAGCAUCGAUUCAUGGAUGCAUACAAAAACAAACAAGUGCCUAUUACACACAGCACACCACACAACGACCUUCUGAGCAUAUGUGGAUUAUCUUCUCAAGGGGCAGCCUGUGUCGCAGCAGAUCAUGCCCUCUAUUUGAAGCAGCAGUGCAUACUUGAAUGACUAUACCCAUCAUUUAUACAUCCAAUGGAAUUAAUUCACAUUUCACUCAGGUGGAAGAGACAUGGGCGAAAGAGAGUUGGGGUCGCCAAACGUGAGGGCAAGAUCCUAGCUUUAAUGAUACAAAAUGACCCGUUGCGUCAAUUGGCGCAAAUGGUAGAGUUACGUGAGAGAAAUUUAUGGUAAUCUAUUCCUAAGAUCAUUGACUUCANNNNNNNNNNNNNNNNNNNNNNNNNNNNNNNNNNNNNNNNNNNNNNNNNNNNNNNNNNNNNNNNNNNNNNNNNNNNNNNNNNNNNNNNNNNNNNNNNNNNCUUCUAUCUUUUUCUACAAGACAGAACAUAUGAUCCAUGAACACAUCAGCAACAUAGUGUCUACUAAAGACUAUAACUCCAAUGUUCUAGAGAAAAAAAUAACAAAUACUGUUGGAAUUAUGCCCUAGAGGCAAUAAUAAAUAUAGUUAUUAUUAUAAUUCCUGUAUCAAGAUAAUCGUUUAUUAUACAUGCUAUAAUUGUAUUGAAUGAAGACUUAUAUACAUGUGUGGAUACAUAGACAAAACACUGUCCCUAGCAAGCCUCUAGUUGGCUAGCCAGUUGAUCAAAGAUAGUCAGGGUCUUCUGACUAUGUACAAGGUGUUGUUGCUUGAUAACUGGAUCACGUCAUUAGAAGAAUCACGUGAUGGACUAGACCCAAACUAAUAGACGUAGCAUGUUGAUCGUGUCAUUUUGUUGCUACUGUUUUCUGCGUGUCAAGUAUUUGUUCCUAUGACCAUGAGAUCAUAUAACUCACUGACACCGGAGGAAUGCUUUGUGUGUAUCAAACAUCGUAACGUAACUGGGUGACUAUAAAUAUGCUCUACGGGUAUUUCCGAAGGUGUUCGUUGAGUUAGUAUGGAUCGAGACUGGGAUUUGUCACUCCGUGUGACGGAGAGGUAUCUAGGGGCCCACUCGGUAAUACAACAUCAGACACAAGCCUUGCAAGCAAUGUAACUUAGUGUAAGUUGCAGGAUCCGGUAUUCCGGAACGAGUAAAGAGACUUGCCAGUAAACGAGAUUGAAAUAGGUAUGCGGAUACUCACGAUCGAAUCUCGGGCAAGUAACAUACCGAAGGACAAAGGGAAUGACAUACGGGAUUAUAUGAAUCCUUGACACUGAGGUUCAAACGAUAAGAUCUUCGUAGAAUAUGUAGGAUCCAAUAUGGGCAUCCAGGUCCCGCUGUUGGAUAUUGACCGAGGAGUCACUCGGGUCAUAUCUACAUAGUUCUCGAACCCGCAGGGUCUGCACACUUAAGGUUCGACGUUGUUUUAUGCGUAUUUGAGUUNNNNNNNNNNNNNNNNNNNNNNNNNNNNNNNNNNNNNNNNNNNNNNNNNNNNNNNNNNNNNNNNNNNNNNNNNNNNNNNNNNNNNNNNNNNNNNNNNNNNAGAAGUCAAAUGGGCGUCCAGAACUUUUAGAAAAAAGCAUCAAGCAAGGUGACCUCUUCUCGCAUGUCGCGGGAAAGGAGAGGAAUGGGUAUGUGAGGUCUAUAGGUCUAGGACCAAGUGCUGCAGGUUUGGGCAUGCCGGGUACUAGAAAGCUGAAAUCCACGAAGCUUCAAAUGGCUGAGGAAGAAGCAAAAGAAGAUUCACAAUCAAAUGCAAUUCUUGUCGAGCGUAUAGAUCAAAUGGAGAAUAAUUUCCAAACAGUAGUUACAACUCUGAAGGAUGAACUUCAACAAAUGAGGAGACUAUUACAAUCAAAAGUGCAGCAAAAUAUUCAGUUCAAUCAAGAGUAUGACUUGUCUCACUCUGGAUAUGGAUAUGGAGGUGGCCAUGGUGGUGGCUAUCGAUAUGAAGGUGCCCAUGGAAGUGGAUAUUGACAUGAAGAUGGAUAUGAAAGUGGAUAUGGAGGUGGAUAUCGACAUAAAGAUGGAUAUGGAGGUGGAUAUCAACAUAAAGAUGGAUAUGAAGGUGGAUAUGGAGGUGGGUAUGGACAUGAAGGGGGGGGGGUAUGAACAUGAAGGGGAGUAUGAGCAUGAAGAGAGUGCAGAAUCUGCCACCCGCAAUCAUGAGGUGCGGCAAGAGAAAGAAGCAACCAUUUUGCAUAAGAAGGCUCAAGAAGCACUCUUGCAAAAUAAGUUAACACCAUCCACUCAGAAAAACUUUGUACUUUCUAGUACCGCUCAACAUGAGGUGCUGCAAGAGAAGGAAGCAACCAUUUUGCAAAAGAAGAAGGCAACAGGGCUCACACAACAAAGUAAGGAUGUGGCACUUCAUCGCCACAAGAUGGCAACAAGCAAGGAAGUUGCAAUCACCCACAAAAAUCAGCAGGUCAUAUUGUACUUGUUGGGGAACGUCGCAUGGGAAACAAAAAAUUUCCUACGCGCACGAAGACCUAUCAUGGUGAUGUCCAUCUACGAGAGGGGAUUUUCGAUCUAUGUACCCUUGUAGAUCGCACAGCAGAAGCGUUAAGAAAGGCUGUUGAUGUAGUGGAACGUCCUCACGUCCCUCGAUCCGCCCCGCGAACCGUCCCACGAACCGUCCCGCGAUCCAUCCCACGAUCCGCUCAUACAUCCAAUAUAUCACAACAUUAACUAUUACAACAUGAUCAGCUCAUACAUCCAAUAUAUCACAUCACAUCGUUGGCCAUAUCACAUCACAAGCAUACCCUGCAAAAACAAGUUAGACGUCCUCUAAUUGUUGUUGCAUGUUUUACGUGGUGACCAAGGGUAUCUAGUAGGAUCGCAUCUUACUUACGCAAACACCACAACGGAGAUAUAUGAAUUGCUAUUUANNNNNNNNNAAGGACCUCCUCGGUCAAAUCCGAUUCAACUAAAGUUGGAGAAACCGACACUCGCCAGUCAUCUUUGAGCAACGGAGUUACUCGUAGCGAUGAAACCAGUCUCUCGUUAGCGUACGAGUAAUGUCGGUCCGAGCCGCUUCGAUCCAACAAUACCGCGGAAUCAAGAAAAGACUAAGGAGGGCAGCAAAACGCACAUCACCGCCCACAAAAACUUUUGUGUUCUACUCGAGAAGACAUCUACGCAUGAACCUANNNNNNNNNNNNNNNNNNNNNNNNNNNNNNNNNNNNNNNNNNNNNNNNNNNNNNNNNNNNNNNNNNNNNNNNNNNNNNNNNNNNNNNNNNNNNNNNNNNNCACUAUAUGCUUUCCAGCCAAAAAUCGACCCUUGUUGGUAAAAAAUGGCAUAGUAGAUACAUUGGUCUCAAGGGCGUCAUUUCUGCAUUUUUUGUUAAAUCUAGUCUCACAUCCAUGUAAAUAACGGGAGCAGAAUGUAAGGCUCUCAUCAAACACAUAGCCCUCUGCAAUUGACCCCUCGGGGUGGCUCUUGGUACGUACAAACCCCUUUAGCUUCAUAUUAUACCUAUAUAGUAUAUACGUAAGAUAUAUCAGAUUAUUUUGGGGGAAGCAAGAAACCAUACGAUACCAAGAAAAUAGGUUUAUAGGGAUGACCUUUCUACUGGGUACAUGCUGAUGUACUUUAUUGGCCCCCCUAGCCUCACUUGGGUUGGAAGGUGAACCAUCAAGUGAACCAUAAGAUCAAAAAAUGAUGACAGAAAUAUGGCCUCAAGAAUGCUCAAGGUCUCAGCUAUUUCUCCCUCUAGCUUCUCCAUGUCACUUAUGCUAAUGACAGGAGAAUAUAUUUGGUUGAAGAAUCUGCUGACACGAACCAAGGCAAUACCGACUUCCUUUGGCAAUGUGUUCCGAACAGCUAGUGGAAGCAAUUGUUGCAAAAGAAUGAUUGUCAUGGCUCUUCAGCCCAACGAUCUUUUUCUGCUUCACAAGGACAUUCCGGCAUAUAUCAGAUGCACAACCAUCAGGGAACCUAGCUUCCUUCAAAAUUUCACAAAACAGUUUCUUCUUUUCAUUGUCCAUUGCGUAGGGUGCAGCAGGCAAAUCAAAUUGUUCACCUACUAGGACAGGUUGGAGAGCUUUUCUUAUUCCGAGAUGCUCUAGAUCUCUACGAGAGCUAUAAUUAUAUUUUGAUUUUUUAUCCAUGCAUAGAAGUGUGUUAAUUAUAUUUUCACAUACAUUCUUUUCAAUGUGCAUUGCAUCAAGAUUAUGAGGCGCAAGCAAGUCUUUCAAGUAUCUCAACCUAAACCAUAUGGAUUUUUUUUUCCGAACCAUUGGUGGUUCGCCAACCUUGCACUUCUUCGUGGUUGUUUUCCCGGAAGGGUCCUUUCCAAAAACAGUCUUCAUAUUUUCAGUGAGGGCCAAAACUUCCUCUCCAGUAAGAGGUACAGGUGUUGUCCCUAAUUCCACACCAUCAAAGGAUUCUUCAUCAAAUCUGUAUUCAUGCUUAGGAUCAAGACACCUUCGAUGUCCCAUAUAGUAAAAUUUCUUGCCUUCCUUCAACCGAAGAGAGCAAGUAUGUGAGCCAAACAAUGGACAAACAAAUUCACCAGAGCUUACAAUCCCUGAUAGAGUGCAUAAGCCUGGGAGGUCUGAUGUAGUUGACAAUACAGCAGCAUGCAGGUUGAAGGGUUUACCGGUCGAGGCAUCAUAGGUUCUAACACCCUCCUCAAAAAGCGAGUUCAAAUCAUCAAUAAGUGGUUCAAGAAAUACAUCUAUAUCUCUCCCAGGUGACCUUGGACCAGGAAUUAGCAAAGAGAGGAUGAAAUUAUGCUGCUUCAUGCACAACCAAGGAGGAAGAUUCAAUGGAAUUACUAAAACAGGCCAGACACUAUAGGAUAACUUCAUUGUCCUAAAUGGAUUAAAACCACCAGAUGCUACAAGCAUCCUCAUGUUGCGACUAUCUUUAGCAAAAUCUCGAUAUUUGCCAUCAAAGUCCUUCAAAGCAGGUGCAUCCGUUGUAUGCCUUAUUAGUCCAUCUCUUGUACGUUCUUCAGCAUGCCAUCUGCAGUCCGCUGCACUCUUUGCGGACACAAAAAGGCGUUGUAGCCUCUUCUUUAUUGGAAAAUAACGAAGAACCUUCCUUGGGACCUUGUGUACAUGUUUCCCAUCAAGACUAUUCUUUUCAGAUUUCCACCGAGAAGUUUUGCAUGUAGGACAAAUAUCCUUAUUUGCAUGUUCCUUCCAGAACAAAAUGCAAUCAUUCUCACAUGCAUGAAUUUUUAUAUAACCAAGCUCAAGGCAUUUUAUCAUCUUCUUAGCUUCAUAAAAGUUUUUGGGUAGCUUUGCUGUUGGAAAGGCCUCUUUUAGCAACUCUAGCAGUAUGUCAAAACUUUUAUCACUCCAACCUCCAAGAGAUUUUGUAUGGAGUAACCUAACAACAAAACGUAGCUUUGAGAAGGUUGUGCACCCUGGAUAAAGCUCCUCCCUAUCAUCANNNNNNNNNNNNNNNNNNNNNNNNNNNNNNNNNNNNNNNNNNNNNNNNNNNNNNNNNNNNNNNNNNNNNNNNNNNNNNNNNNNNNNNNNNNNNNNNNNNNCACAACUCACGGUGACAGCAAAUCUCAUCCAUCAUUACACACACGCACUUCUUUCCUUCAUUCCCUAAGGUAGCAUUAGUGAUGGAGUACUCUCCAAAGCUAGCUGCAGCACUGCUCUUAGCCCUCACGUCCGCCAUGAUCGUCACCGCCCAGAAUGACGACGCUGACUACAUGGUGAAUGCCCACAACGAAGUGCGCGCCGCCAUCGGUGUGGGGCCGGUGACGUGGGACCCCAUAGUGGCGGCGUACGCGCAGUCAUUCGCGGAGAAGCGCCGCGCCGACUGCCAGCCAAUACUCUCUCCGGAGGGCGGUCCAUACGGAGAGAACAUCUUUCGAGCCCCUGGUACCGAAUGGAAUGCGAUAGACGCAGUGAUUUAUUGGGCGUCCGGGAAGCAGUACUACGACCACGCCACCAACACUUGCUCCGCACCUACGGGUGAGUCNNNNNNNNNNNNNNUGAAUUUGGUGUGGAGGGACACGAAGACCAUCGGUUGCGGCGCUGUCGUCUGUGACGGCAAUGCCGGUGUGUUUGUCAUUUGCAGCUACAGCCCGCCGCACAUGGUUGGGCAGAUUCCAUACUAGGCUACGUACCAAGUAUGCAUGAGGCUAUGUAUGCAUGCAUGCACAUAGCACCGUGCUGCAUAAAUAAAUAAUUAAGGGAUACUUCUAGGGCUGGAAAGUAAUUAUCGGUCGAUUGAUGUCACCGAUAUGUGUGUGUGUCCAGAAACCCUCCUGCCUUCACCCCUGUAUCGUUCCGGGCUUUGAUUGUUUUGGUAUUUGUCUUGUAACUUGUGAUUCAUCUUUGAUUUGUUGUAUUUGAGCUUCUUAUUCUGGUUGUAUCCGGGCUUUGCUCUGGAUGGGUCUCUAGUAUAGUUGGAACGAGAAAAGAACAAGCACAAUAUCACGUAGACCUUAAGUUCAAGCAACAUGUUUGUGUUCUAGAGAACAAAACAUACAUGUCUCUUAUAUUUUAAAUAAUCUGAUUUCAGCAAUGUGUUUUCAAAAUGAAAUAACAAACUUCAACGAAACUGAUAAAAUAUUUUAGUGGCCUUGUAGUGAUGCUUAUCGAAGGUUGUUUAGCAACUAUGCCCGAAUUUUUUCACAUGAAAUGCGCUGAUUUAUGAGCAAUAAUAUGGAUAACAUAGCAAAUAAUAAUAUACUACCAUAUUAAUAGAGCACAACUCUCAUGAAAAGUUCUACUUAAUCAAGGUGCAAGUUAAAAAUCAAAUGUCCCAAAAUAAGACCGUUACACUAUUACAAGUUCUGCUUGGAACAAGAAAAUAAUUUCAACCCUGAAUAGGACAAGAACUCAAACACCAGAAUGACCAUGGCCGCACGAGAUGUCCUAGUCAAUGAUCUUGGGAGUAGAUUACCGUGCGUUUCUUCUAGCGUAACUCCGUCAUUUGCGCUAAUUGGCGCAACUGGUAUCGCCCCCUCAUCUUUGGAAACCCCCACUCUAUUUCUCCCUUGUAUCUUCCACUUGAGCGAAAUCGUGAGUUAAUUCAGUUCGAUGCAUACAUGAUGGGUAUAUUCGUUUUAGUAAGUACUGUUAUUUCAAACAGAGGACAUGAUAUGUUGCGACACUGGCUGCCUCUUGAGAAGCUAAUCCACAUCUUCUCGGAAGGUCGUUGUUUGGCGUGUCGUGUAUAUCAUGCACUGGUUUGCUCAUUUAUGCAUCCAUAAACCGAUGUUUUUUCUACUGCAUGGCCUGGCGCAGCAUCCAUGGUGAAAAAACAUGUUGGGUACUUUUUUUCAUUCGGAUGAGGUCUCCGCCUAUUGUUAACCAUCCGGUGAGGUCUUCGCUUAUUUUAUACGACUUGGUGAGGUGUCCGUUUAGUGAAUGGCUUCAAUGUUUUACUUGGAAUAGUUAUGUUACACUACACCACAACACUUAAUUGGGGGCAGCUAACAGCCAGGAAAAAAUCUGCCUAAGGGCAAUAUAUCUGCCGGGACAUCUGUUACUGCCGCUAUAAGAAUCUUAGGGCGGCCUUACUGUCGGGAGAACUACAGCAACAACGGCACGUGCACUGCCGACAUCUUUACGACAAAUAAUCUGCCGGAGGAACUAAAUCAUGGCCCACUGUCUGCCGGCCCAUGCCGGAGACCGUCUUUGGCGCGAAACAGUAUGGUAGCGCGCGCCAGCUAGGAAAAAAGUGCGCGACUUGACGAAAAUUUUGGCCCAUUGUGAAAAUAGAAGCGCCGGCCCUCCCGCGACCAAAUCGAUCCCCACCCUGCGCCUCCACCAAAUCGACCGCCGCCGCCCCCAAAACCUAGCUCACCGCCGGCAUAACCCCUCACCACCGCAGCUCCUGCUCCAGUUUGGCNNNNNNNNNNNNNNNNNNNNNNNNNNNNNNNNNNNNNNNNNNNNNNNNNNNNNNNNNNNNNNNNNNNNNNNNNNNNNNNNNNNNNNNNNNNNNNNNNNNNCGAGAAACAUCUCCUUAGUCCUUUUCAGGUACUUCAGGAUAUUCUUGACCGCCGUCCAGUGAUCCACUCCUGGAUUACUCUGGAACCUGCCUGCCAUACUUAUGGCCAGGCUAACGUCCGGUCUAGUGCACAACAUUGCAUACAUGAUAGAUCCUAUGGCUGAAGCAUAGGGGACGGUGCUCAUAUGCUCUCUAUCUUUUUCAGUUGCUGGGCACUGGGUCUUACUCAAUCUCGUACCUUGUAAAACUGGCAAGAACCCCUUCUUGGACUGUUCCAUUUUGAACCUUUUCAAAACUUUAUCAAGGUAUGUGCUUUGUGAAAGUCCUAUCAGGCGUUUCGAUCUAUCCCUAUAGAUCUUAAUGCCUAGAAUGUAAGCAGCUUCUCCUAGGUCCUUCAUAGAGAAACUUUUAUUCAAGUAAUCCUUUAUGCUCUCCAAAAACUCUACGUUGUUUCCAAUCAGCAAUAUGUCAUCCACAUAUAAUAUUAGAAACGCCACAGAUCUCCCACUCACUUUCUUGUAAAUACAAGAUUCUCCAACCACUUGUAUACACCCAAAUGCUUUGAUCACCUCAUCAAAGCGUUUAUUCCAACUCCGAGAUGCUUGCACCAGUCCAUAAAUGGAUCGCUGGAGCUUGCAUACCUUGUUAGCAUUUUUAGGAUCGACAAAACCUUCGGGUUGCAUCAUAUACAACUCUUCCUUAAGGAAACCGUUAAGGAACACCGUUUUGACAUCCAUCUGCCAGAUUUCAUAAUCGAAAAAGCAGGUAUUGCUAAUAUGAUUCUGACGGACUUAAGCAUCGCUACGGGUGAGAAUGUCUCAUCGUAGUCAACUCCUUGAACUUGUGAAAAACCCUUUGCCACAAGUCGAGCUUUAUAAACGGUCACAUUACCGUCAGCAUCCGUCUUCUUCUUAAAGAUCCAUUUGUUCUGAAUAGUCUUGCGGCCCUCAGGUAGUACUUCCAAAGUCCACACCUUGUUUUCAUACAUGGAUCCUAUCUCGGACUUCAUGGCCUCCAGCCAUUUGUUGGAAUCUGGGCCCACCAUUGCUUCUUCAUAAUUUGCAGGUUCAUUGUUGUCUAACAACAUGAUUGACAAAAUGGGAUUACCGUACCACUCUGGAGCAGCACGUGGUCUCGUCGACCUGUGUGGUUCGAUAGGAAUUUGAACCGGAGUUUCAUGAUCAUCAUCAUUAACUUCCUCCUCAACCGGUGUCGCAACGACAGGGGUUUCCCCUUGCCCCGCGCCACCAUCCAGAGGGAUGAGAGGUUCGACAACCUCAUCAAGUUCUAUCUUCCUCCCACUCAAUUCUCUCGAGAGAAACUCCUUCUCGAGAAAAUCUCCGUUUUUAGCAACAAACACUUUGCCCUCGGAUUUGAGAUAGAAGGUGUACCCAACUGUCUCUUUUGGGUAACCUAUGAAGAUGCACUUUUCCGCUUUGGGUUCCAGCUUUUCAGGCUGAAGCUUUUUGACAUAAGCAUCACAUCCCGAAACUUUAAGAAAUGACAACUUUGGCCUUUUGCCAUACCACAGUUCGUAUGGUGUCGUCUCAACGGAUUUUGAUGGUGCCCUAUUUAAAGUGAAUGCAGUUGUGUCUAAUGCAUAACCCCAAAACGAUAACGGCAAAUCGGUAAGAGACAUCAUAGAUCGCACCAUCUCUAAUAAAGUACGAUUACAACGUUCGGACACACCAUUACGCUGCGGUGUUCCAGGCGGUGUCAACUGUGAAACAAUUCCACAUUGUCUUAAGUGAGCACCAAACUCGAAACUCAGAUAUUCACCCCCACGAUCAGACCGUAGGAACUUGAUCUUCUUGUUACGAUGAUUUUCAACUUCACUCUGAAAUUGCUUGAACUUUUCAAAUGUUUCAGACUUGUGCUUCAUUAAGUAGACAUAACCAUAUCUACUCAAAUCGUCAGUGAAGGUGAAAACAUAACGAUAUCCGCCGCGUGCCUCCACGCUCAUCGGACCACACACAUCGGUAUGUAUGAUUUCCAAGAAGUCACUUGCACGCUCCAUUGUUCCGGAGAACGGAGUUUUAGUCAUGUUGCCCAUGAGGCAUGGUUCGCACGUGUCAAGUGAAUCAAAGUCAAGUCACUCCAAAAGUCCAUCGGUAUGGAGUUGCUUCAUGCGCUUUACACCAAUAUGACCUAAGCGACAGUGCCAUAAAACAUGGCGCUAUCAUUGUUAACUCUUACUCUUUUGGUCUCAAUGUUAUGUAUAUGUGUGUUAUCACUAUCACGAUUCAAUAUGAACAAUCCUCUCACAUUGGGUGCAUGACCAUAAAAGAUAUUACUCAUAGAAAUAGAACAACAAUUAUUCUCUGACUUAAACGAGUAACUGUCUCGCAAUAAACAAGAUCCAGAUAUAAUGUUCAUGCUCAACGCAGGCACUAAAUAACAAUUAUUCAAGUUCAUAACUAAUCCUGAUGGUAACUGAAGUGAAACUAUGCCGACGGCGAUUGCAUCAACCUUGGAACCAUUUCCCACGCGCAUCGUCACUUCAUCUUUUGCCAGCCUUCGCUUAUUCCGCAGUUGCUGUUUCGAGUUGCAAAUAUGAGCAACAGAACUGGUAUCGAAUACACAAGCACUACUACAAGAGCUGGUUAAGUACACAUCAAUAACAUGUAUAUCAAAUAUACCUGAUUUUUCUUUGGCCGCCUUCUUAUCAGCUAGAUACUUGGGGCAGUUGCGCUUCCAGUGACCCAUACCCUUGCAAUAGUAGCACUCUGUUUCAGGCUUAGGUCCAGCUUUGGGUUUCUUCGUCGGAUUGGCAAUAGGCUUGCCGCUCUUCUUUGAAUUAGCCUUCUUCCCUUUGCCGUUUCUCUUGAAACUAGUGGUCUUAUUCACCAUCAACACCUGAUGCUCUUUACGGAGUUCAGACUCUGCGACUUUCAGCAUCGCAAACAACUCGCCGGGUGACUUGUUCAUCCCUUGCAUGUUGUAGUUCAACACAAAGCCCUUAUAGCUUGGCGGCAGUGAUUGAAGAAUUCUGUCAGUGAUAGCCUCUUGCGGGAGUUCAAUCCCCAGCUCAGCUAGACGGUUUGAGUACCUAGACAUUUUGAGCACAUGUUCACUGACAGACGAAUUCUCCUCCAUCUUGCAAGUAUAGAAUUUAUCGGAGGUCUCAUACCUCUCGAUCCGGGCGUUCUUCUGAAAGAUAAACUUCAACUCCUGGAACAUAUCAUAUGCUCCAUGACGCUCAAAGCGAUGUUGAAGUCCUGGCUCUAAGCCAUACAAGACUGCACAUUGAACUACUGAGUAGUCCUCCUUACGUGUUAACCAAGCGUUCUUAACAUCUUGGUCAGCCGUAGCGGGUGGUUCAUCUCCUAGCGCAGCAUUAAGGACAUAAUCCUUCUUCCCAGCUUGUAGGAUCAACUUAAGAUUACGAGCCCAGUCUACACAGUUGCUUCCAUCAUCUUUCAACUUAGCUUUCUCUAGGAACAUAUUAAAAUUCAGGCUGACUGUCGCGUGAGCCAUGAUCUACAACACAAAUAUAUUCAAAGUGGAUUUAGACUAUGUUCAAGAUAAUUAGAGUUUAGCUUAAUCAAAUUACUUGCUAAACUCCCACUCAAAAAAUACAUCUCUCUAGUCAUUUGAGUGGUUCAUGACCCACUUACACUAGCUCAAGUCCGAUCAUCACGUGAGUUGAGUAUAGUUUCAGUGGUAAGCAUCCCUAUGCUAAUCAUAUCAACUAUAUGAUUCAUGAUCGAUCUUUCGGUCUCAUGUGUUCCGAGGCCAUGUGUGCACAUGCUAGGCUCGUCAAGCUUAACCCGAGUGUUCCGCGUGUGCAACUGUUUUGCACCCGUUGUAUGUGAACGUUGAGUCUAUCACACCCGAUCAUCACGUGGUGUCUCGAAACGACGAACUGUAGCAACGGUGCACAGUCGGGGAAAACACAAUUUUGUCAUGAAAUUUUAGUGAGAGAUCAGCUCAUAAUGCUACCGUCGUUCUAAGCCAAAUAAGGUGCAUAAAAGGAUUAACAUCACAUGCAAUUCAUAAGUGACAUGAUAUGGCCAUCAUCACGUGCUUCUUGAUCUCCAUCACCAAAGCACCGACAUGAUCUUCUUUGUCACCGGCGCCACACCAUGAUCUCCAUCAACGUGUCGCCAUCGGGGUUGUCGUGCUACUCAUGCUAUUACUACUAAAGCUACAUCCUAGCAAUAUAGUAAACGCAUCUGCAAGCACAAACGUUAGUUUAAAGACAACCCUAUGGAUCCUGCCGGUUGCCGUACCAUCGACGUGCAAGUCGAUAUUAUCUAUUACAACAUGAUCAUCUCACACAUCCAAUAUAUCACAUUACACCUUUGGCCAUAUCACAUCACAAGCAUACCCUGCAAAAACAAGUUAGACGUCCUCUAAUUGUUGUUGCAUGUUUUACGUGGUGACCAUGGGUAUCUAGUAGGAUCGCAUCUUACUUACGCAAACACCACAACAGAGAUAAAUGAAUUGCUAUUUAACCUCAUCCAAGGACCUCCUCGGUCAAUUCCGAUUCAACUAAAGUUGGAGAAACCGACACCUGCUAGUCAUCUUUGAGCAACGGAGUUACUCGUAGCGAUGAAACCAGUCUCUCGUAAGCGUACGAGUAAUGUCGGUCCGAGCCGCUUCGGUCCAACAAUACCGCGGAAUCAAGAAAAGACUAAGGAGGGCAGCAAGACGCACAUUACCGCCCACAAAAACUUUUGUGUUCUAAUCGAGAUUACAUCUACGCAUGAACCUAGCUCAUGAUGCCACUGUUUGGGGAACGUCGCAUGGGAAACAAAAAUUNUUCCUACGCGCACGAAGACCUAUCAUGGUGAUGUCCAUCUACGAGAGGGGAUUUCCGAUCUACGUACCCUUGUAGAUCGCACAGCAGAAGCGUUAGUGAACGCGGUUGAUGUAGUGGAACGUCCUCACGUCCCUCGAUCUGCCCCGCGAACCGUCCCACGAACCGUCCCGCGAUCCGUCCCACGAUCUAGUGCCGAACGGACGGCACCUCCGCGUUCAGCACACGUACAGCUCGACGAUGAUCUCGGCCUUCUUGAUCCAGCAAGAGAGACGGAGAGGUAGAUGAGUUCUCCGGCAGCGUGACAGCGCUCCGGAGGUUGGUGGUGAUCUAAUCUCAGCAGGGCUCCGCCCGAGCUCCGCCCGAGCUCCGCAGAAACGCGAUCUAGAGGUAAAACCGUGGAGGUAUGUGGUCGGGCUGCCUUGAAAAAGUUGUCUCAAAUCAGCCCUAAUAGCUCCAUAUAUAUAGGAGGAGGGAGGGGAGGCUUGCCUCGAGGCUCAAGGAGCCCCAAGGGCUGCGCACCAAGGGGAGGAGGAGUCCUCCUCCAAUCCUAGUCCAACUAGGAUUGGAAGGUGGAGUCCUUCUCUUCCUUCCCACAUCCUUUUUUCCUUUUCUCUUUGAUUUUCUAUCUAUGGCGCAUAGGGCCUUCUUGGGCUGUCCCACCAGCCCACCAAGGGCUGGUGCGCCACCCCCAAGGCAUAUGGGCUUCCCCGGGGUGGGCUUCCCCCCCCCCCGGUGAACAUCCGGAACCCAUUCGUCAUUCCCGGUAACUCCGAACACCUUCCGGUAAUCAAAUGAGGUCAUCCUAUUAUCAAUCUUCGUUUCCGGACCAUUUCGGAAACCCUCAUGACGUCCGUGAUCUCAUCCGGGACUCCGAACAACAUCCGGUAACCAACCAUAUAACUCAAAUACGCAUAAAACAACGUCGAACCUUAAGUGUGCAGACCCUGCGGGUNNNNNNNNNNNNNNNNNNNNNNNNNNNNNNNNNNNNNNNNNNNNNNNNNNNNNNNNNNNNNNNNNNNNNNNNNNNNNNNNNNNNNNNNNNNNNNNNNNNNAGAGCAAAGCCCGGAUACAACCAGAAUAAGAAGCUCAAAUACAAGAAAUCAAAGACGAAUCACAAGUUACAAGACAAAUACGAAAACAAUCAAAGCCCGGAACGAUACAGGAGUGAAGGGAGGAGGGUUUCUGGACACACACACAUAUCGGUGACAUCAAUCGACCGAUAAUUAGUUCCCAGCCCUAGAAGUAUCCCUUAAUUAUUUAUUUAUGCAGCACGGUGCUAUGUGCAUGCAUGCAUACAUAGCCGCAUGCAUACUUGGUACGUAGCCUAGUAUGGAAUCUGCCCAACCAUGUGCGGCGGGCUGUAGCUGCAGAUGACAAACACACCGGCAUUGCCGUCACAGACGACAGCGCCGCAACCGAUGGUCUUCGUGUCCCUCCACACCAAAUUCAGGUAUUCACCGCACGACUCACCCGUAGGUGCGGAGCAAGUGUUGGUGGCGUGGUCGUAGUACUGCUUCCCGGACGCCCAAUAAAUCACUGCGUCUAUCGCAUUCCAUUCGGUACCAGGGGCCCGAAAGAUGUUCUCUCCGUAUGGACCGCCCUCCGGAGAGAGUAUUGGCUGGCAGUCGGCGCGGCGCUUCUCCGCGAAUGACUGCGCGUACGCCGCCACUAUGGGGUCCCACGUCACCGGCCCCACACCGACGGCGGCGCGCACUUCGUUGUGGGCAUUCACCAUGUAGUCANNNNNNNNNNNNNNNNNNNNNNNNNNNNNNNNNNNNNNNNNNNNNNNNNNNNNNNNNNNNNNNNNNNNNNNNNNNNNNNNNNNNNNNNNNNNNNNNNNNNCUAUAGAAGGAUCAUGUAAUAUACGUUUUAGGUUGUGGAUUAUGGGCUUAUUUAAUUCAGGUAAAAAUUGUAGACAAUCAGUAAGAACGUUCCGGUUAUUCUUGUGUAGGAAGGAGAAGGUGAUAUGGGUCAUGGAGGACCAGGACAUCUCGUGCGGCCAUGGUCAUUCUGGUGUUUGAGUUGUUGUCCUAUUCAGGGUUGAAAUUAUUUUCUUGUUCCAAGCAGAACUUGUAAUAGUGUAACCGUCUUAUUUUGGGUCAUUUGAUUUUUAACUUGCAGCUUGAUUAAGUAGAACUUUUCAUGAGAGUUGUGCUCUAUUAAUAUAGUAGUAUAUUAUUAUUUGCUAUGUUAUCCAUAUUAUUGCCCAUAAAUCAGCGCAUUUCAUGUGAAAAAAUUCGGGCAUCGUUGCUAAACAACCUUCGAUAAGCAUCACUACAUGGCCACUAAAAUAUUUUCUCAGUUUCGUUGAAGUUUGUUAUUUCAUUUUGAAAACACAUUGCUGAAAUCAGAUUAUUUAAAAUAUAAGAGACAUGUAAGUUUUGUUCUCUAGAACACAAACAUGUUGCUUGAACUUAAGGUCUACGUGAUAUUGUGCUUGUUCUUUUCUCGUUCCAACUAUACUAGAGACCCAUCCAGAGCAAAGCCCGGAUACAACCAGAAUAAGAAGCUCAAAUACAACAAAUCAAAGACGAAUCACAAGUUACAAGACAAAUACCAAAACAAUCAAAGCCCGGAACGAUACAGGAGUGAAGGCAGGAGGGUUUCUGGACACACACACAUAUCGGUGACAUCAAUCGACCGAUAAUUAGUUCCCAGCCCUAGAAGUAUCCCUUAAUUAUUUAUUUAUGCAGCACGGUGCUAUGUGCAUGCAUGCAUACAUAGCCGCAUGCAUACUUGGUACGUAGCCUAGUAUGGAAUCUGCCCAACCAUGUGCGGCGGGCUGUAGCUGCAGAUGACAAACACACCGGCAUUGCCGUCACAGACGACAGCGCCGCAACCGAUGGUCUUCGUGUCCCUCCACACCAAAUUCAUGUAUUCAUCGCACGACUCACCCGUAGGUGCGGAGCAAGUGUUGGUGGCGUGGUCGUAGUACUGCUUUCCGGACGCCCAAUAAAUCACUACGUCUAUCGCAUUCCAUUCGGUACCAGGGGCCCGAAAGAUGUUCUCUCCGUAUGGACCGCCAUCCGGAGAGAGUAUUGGCUGGCAG